AAUUCGGGGCGUUUGACAUGAUUUUUUUUUUUUUGUCUCGUUUGAGCGCACAUUUUUUAUUUGGUUUCACAUUACAUCGUUGAAAUUUGAAAACAAAUAAUUUAUGGUCAAACCGUAAAAAUAUUUUUCAUCAAUUACCCGGAAGUACCUUUGUAUGUGGACAAAAAAGGCAGAGGAGGAAAAGAAACAAGGAAGCCGAAGGAAACCAAAAUAAUAAUUCCCCUCAUUAAAAAUAUUGAGCUUAUAUGCUUUCUUUUCUUUUCUCUCUCGAUGAGUAUUUUCGACUCAGUUCCCGGGCAAGAAUCAGACCACUUUGAAAAGGCCACUUUAUAACCAAACUAAUGUACGUCGGGUUUGUGUGGUUUGGUUCACGAGAGAUUGACAGUGAUAGUUGUUUUUCAAUUAAAUGUAUUAUUUGUUGAAUUUGGAUAGCGUACUGUUCUUUGACAUUUAUUAUUGUAUUAUUAUUUAAUAAAUAGAACGAGUUUCUUUCCAACUCCCAACUCCUAAGGCCAAAGCAUGAAAAAAAAACCACUAUUGGCUGAGCCAAUGGCGGUAAUGGUACCUAAACUAGAUGGCUGAUCAAUAUGCUUUCUACUAUUAAUAAUGAAAUAGUUGAUUUACGAGGUAAGUUACAUGAAGAAAUGUGCAAAAUUGAAGGCUUGGAGGUGGAACAAUCAUACGAUGCAUCUAAUACGCUGGCUGCAGAAACAUGAUUUAUUUUGCGUGUUCUUUACCAUGCCGGAUCACGUCAAGAAAGGAUGUGUCAUUCAAAUGCUUCGUUGUGGGAUGUAAUUCGAUAUCAGUUACAAUGUUAAUCUUUGUGCUUGUGCUGAUAUGUUGCGAUUUUGAACUUAUCUAUACAGUAAGUCACUUAUCAACUAGUAGUCUAGUAAUACUUGAACUUUUAUAUGUGUUAUGUAUGAUUUUUAUUAUCUGUUGCUGGAACUUCUGUUGUAGUGGAAAUCAUGUUGAACUUAUCUAUGCAUUUUAUAUGUGCCCCUUGUAUUAAGUUUUGUCGCUUUUGUAUUUUAAUUCAUACAGAAUUUAUUGAAAUCCAAAAAAAAUUGUAAUAUUGUCAAACAUGGCCUUCAUUAUUUAUAAUUAUUACUACUAAUGUAAUUGUUGUUGUUGUUGUUGUUAGUACUAUUAUUAUAGGCAAUAAUUAACGAAGGAUUUUUUAAUAACUUACAACAGUCCAUUUUCAUUUCAAAAUAAAAUAAACACAUGAAUGAACAUAAAAUCUGUUUUGAUUCAUAUUUCUAUAAUUCAAAUAAACAACUUAUUUUUAUUUUCAUUUAUCAUUCUCACUCUAACCGUUUGGUGAAGUGUGAACAUCAUUUAUUGGCUUUGGGUAAACAUACCAUCAUUAAUUGCCUGUUCCAAGUCAAAGGCCUGGAGGCUCAUGCUUCCUAGAGUGAGCACCGCCUGAGGCUGGCUUCACGGACCGGCGACCACCACCUGCUCCUGGCUCGACAACUGUCUCAAUUAGUUGAUCCCACCUGGACCAUCACCUUUUAAUUUUUUGUUUUCGCCACCAGAGGUUGGAUUCUGGACUUUGAUCAACUUGAAAAGCGAAUGAUGAUCAAUAAUAAUACAUCCCUCUAAACGGCAAGCGUGUUUAGCUUUACAAAUGAAGGUAUCAUAGUUGAAAAAUAUUCCGUACACAAUAAUUUUUCGUCAAGAAAGUGACUCCAAUGAAGGUCUUGAACCAUCUCAACCGUACUCCACCUACUUGACCCAAAAAUUGCAUCCUUGACUUAACAAGAAGUCAUGCAGUAACAUAUGCUUAAAACAGAAAAGACAUGUUUUCAAUUGUAGGAUACAAUGAAUUCAUCAUCGCCAAGAAGUUGUGUGUUUUCCACUAUCUCACUCUCUUGAAGGCCAACAAACAUGAACUGAAUCUGCAACAAAAUCUAAAACUACAAUCCACCCAAGACAUAGCUAAUUGAUUUCAAUUCCAAAGAAAGGCCCGAGUGGCAACAUGAGAUAAUUUCAAUUCCGAAGGAAUGCCACAGUGGCAACACGAGAUCCCUCCGAUCCACCAAACAUGAAGGUUGGGUAUGUGCGAACAUGAUUAAGGUAACGGAAUGGAGGCUCCCUGCAUGCUUCUUCAUCUUUGAUCUCAUGUUCCUGGGACACACCAAUCCUUCUUUGACUUAAAUUUGACACUUCAUGCACCAACUCAUCUUUUGUACUGUUACACGAUGUGAUCACCUACCAACAUGAUCAAAACAAGGAAAACAAGAGGUGAGUUAGCAAAUCCCCAGAAUGCAAGUAUGACAUUGUGUGUUAUGCUUGGGAUUUAUCCAAGCAACUUCGUGUAAAAUAGAAGGGUAAUGAUAAUUACAAAACAUAAAAAAGGUAGACCAAAGAGGCUCACCAAUAAUCCACCAGGAGCCACCAACUUUGAAACAGAAUCCCAAUACAUGAUCCUGAAAAUGACAAACACAAGUUCACUUUUCACUAUUUAGCAGUGUAAUAGAAGUGCUGUAUAGUUAUCUAUGAGAUUCAAACAACACCAGGGUUGCUAACUCACAACCAGUUAUGUGAUUACCCAAAAAGAGAAAGAUGAUAAUAUACCUGUAACCAAGAAAACUAUUGUUUACCUUUUGAGAGGACCAUCAGGAUGCAGUCCAAUGGCAUCUAAAGUCCCUUUAUCCAUGACAAGCUGAAAUUGUCUUUCGAGCUUUGUGUCAAGAACAUCAUCAACCUAAAACCAGCAGUGACAGAAAUUCAAAUGAAACGACCAUCAUACAUAUGUUCACUGAGCAAUUGCUAAAAGAUUAGGAUACAAAAGGAUAACGAUUUUGUUAUAAGUACUGAAAACGUACAGUCUGAGAACUCGUUCACACUGUUUGUGAACACAACUAAAUUCAGCAAAACCAUCAGAUAUUAUAUUCUUGCCUUAUAACUCAAAAAGAUCAGCAUCCCACAGUUCUCCUCAACUUAUCAGGAACAACUUGAAAGUUUUAUUCUUGGCUCUAACCAAAGAUCAAGUUUGUUACACCUUUAGAGAAGAAAAUGGCAACAUUUAUCUAAAAAGAAAAGUUUUGGAUAGCCAACUCACAUGCAAGAUGGUCAUCAUGUAAAUGCAAGAAAUGAACUUUAUAUUAAAAAAAAAUAAAGUUAAACCAGGAGGUUUCAAGAAAUAAGGCGAAAUUCCCAUAGAUAAGCAAAUAUCUAAUUCAAGGAUACAAAUCUGACUGUAACAUCUAGGGGGAAAAAGGACAAAAGAAUGAUUCAUUUUAAAAGAAAGCAUUCAUUUGAUAUAUAGUAACCAAUUUGAUAUAAAUCAAAUGUAUAGUGCUCGUUUCUUUCUGACUUACAGAUGAAAUAAGUCAAUAUUUGCACCGAAAUAUUCAUUACCAAAAAUUUAAUACAGGAAAAUCCAUCACGAUUAGCAAGGCUUUGAGCAAGGUUUAUUGCAUCUUCACUAUAAUCAACUCCAGUUAAAUCAGAGAACCUGAAAACAAAUACACAUCAAUCUACUUGUUAUUAUAAUAUAAUUUCCAGCAAUAUGUAACAGUACAUCAAAAUUUCAGACAUUUCCAAUGGACAUUUCUUCCCAAACCAAGCCAUUGAUGCAACAUUCAGAACUGUACUUUAAUUUGCGAACAUCCAUUUUGUAGCAUGUUCUUGUAAAACAUUAAUCACAAAAGUACUCCAAUGACAAGUACUUUAAUAGUAAAUAAGUUGGAACGAUAUUACUGUUAAACCAUUUAGUCUGAGACAAUAUCCCACUCCUACUAAAUAUGUGGAUUGCAGGUCUUUUUCCACUCAAACAAACCACACACACCUCUCCACAUAUCAAAACAUUCAACACACCACAUGAAAUAUAGGAAUUGUAAGCUUUCAAAAUGCCACGUAUGAGUUCUUCUUUUGCUUUGUCAAUAUCCCGCCUUAACCUAGAUCACUUUCUGAGCCCCUGUUAUCUGAUUAACUCUACUCCUACUUUAAUCUUACAAACUACAGAGCAUGUAUAUAUCAUGUUUCCAUACAAAGAAACAAUGGAGACGAAUUUGCAAGUGAAAUACUACAUUGAACUAUAAAUUUCUUAGAUCAAUAUACUACAAAAUACCAGAACUAUAGGCAAAAUCUCAGUGUGUACCCCUGCUUGGAAAGUUCUUGAAGAAGCAGACCAUUGCCAGUACCAAUAUCAAGUACACUCCAAGAAGACAAAUACUUAUCAUUCUCUUCCACAGGCUCAGACUUAAGAUCUUCAACAUGAUUCAGCAUGUGACCUUGUGAUAUGCUAAUGCACAAGCUUUUUGUCCAAGAAGCAACAACAUCCAUGACAUCAGCUCCAAACCUAAUGAAAGGGGGCACGAGCCAAAAAAAAAGGUUUUGUAGAAAAGUAAGAGAGUUAUGAAUUUUACCUCCUCUGCUAUUUCAAAGAGGAUUCAUUAAAUAUUUACAAGUUCAUCUGUUCUUGAGUUCAAACCAAGGUUAUUUUCCUGAAAGUGAAGGCCGAUUAUACUCCAACAGACAUAAGCAAACACAGCUUACAUUCUGCUGUACAGAUUCUAACGUUCUUAUGAUAUUGCAAAUUAGAUAAAAGAAAUCAUCUCAAUAUGAUGUUUAGUAUAUUGAGUGAGCAGUAAUGUUCCACAGGCCGCAGAAAAGAGAAAACGCUCAGAACUGUUGGGUAGAUGCAUUUUAUUCAAAGAUGUAAGAAGCUGCGGGAUAGCCUCCGCGAAUUUUAAUUUCCCAAUUUACUGAAACCCAACAACUAUACUUAAGUAUGAACUACAGUCUUAAACUUGAUAUAUUUCCUUCAUUCAUAAACUUCAUUCUUUUAAGUCUAAACAUUUGGCCAGAAUAACUUUUAAAGCUGCAUUUCAGAGUGCUUCGAUAGAAAGGCCUUUCAAAAGUUUAUUGCUUUAGAUACUAUAACGGAGACAAGUUCGACUGUAAAGACCCCAGUGCUUACCAAACUUCACCAGCAUGGCCAUGUUCACGAAAAUUAGCCAACUCAUCUGCGUAAGCAGAAUCCCAGUAACUCUGAAGACCUAACAUUGAUGCCAUCCCUUCUGGAUCUGGCUCCUCCUUGUCAGAACUAUACACAAUGGACACAACAAUCAGCACAUACAUCAAGUGCCAAGUUACAAGGACUAGAAUAUAAGCAUUGAAAUUUCAGCUCUUUUGCCAAUCACAGACCCCAAACAAAUCAUAUGAUUCUACACAGCUACUUCUCUAGAAGUAAAUCACUUUCAUGUCUCUUAUUCUUUCUUGUAAAUAUAUUAGUUCUACAACUCAUUAUUAAGACAGAGAACAUUUCAAAACGCAAACGUUCAAAUUUUUAAGAAAAAAAUCAAUAAAUCAAUUGCAAAUUAAAAACUAGUGGCGCACAACAGACAGCCUAAUUCAUUGUAAUCUUUUUAUAUCUCGGGGAACCAAACAGUUUUUUUAUUUUUUCCCGAAAGAAUGAGAUUCACACUUGUAAUCAGAAUUAGCGCGGAAGUUUGCGGCGGAGGAGAGGGCCUCAGCGGCAUCGGCGUGGCGCUGAUCAUCGUCGAGAGUGCUUCCAUACUCGCUCUUUAUUGACCACGAGUCCGCAGCGACUGACCGCUCGUCGUCAGACACUAGAUCGCCCGCGACGCGGACCUGCUGCGGCGGCUGUUGCGGCGAAACCUCGGGUUCUUCCGGCGGCAAUCGGAAUCCGGCCAUUACGAUGCGUUUCGCAGAACGGACUUUAUGUGGACUGUUUUAGCAACGAUUGGCAAAUGGCGUCUUCUCAAUUUUGACCGCCUUUUGGUAUUGGAUGACGUGACAGCUAUCGGACCUUCGGAUAAAAUUUUAGGGUGAAUUUCAAUUAGCUCCUUUAUGUUUACUCUAAAUAUUAAUUGGUGAAAAAUGUUUUUUGCCCUUUUAUUUGAGCGGAAUUUAUCCAAAAUGAAAAUGUUAAUUAAAAAAAAAAAGUAGUCAACGAGUGCAUUAAACUGAAUCCGAAAGAAUGUAUUCCGAGACCUGAAUGAAGAAGUGUCGUCUAACGUGGCAUUUAUCGAGUGAAUGUUGAUCUUUCUUAAUUUUUAAUUUAUUAUUACCUUUCGUCUAAUGUAAAAAACAUUAUUUAUCAUCGAAUUUUAAAAAUAAACUUUUAAGACAAUUAAAUGAUAGUUUUAUUGUUUCUAAUUAAGCAGAUUUCCUUAUUGGUCUAGUAUUUUUUUACAAUGCCAUUUGAUAUAAACUAAAAGUAAAAAUUAUCUUGCUAAACAGAAAAAUUAAUACAAAUAAAUAUCGACUGUACAAUAACAUAAGCUCUUUAAACAAACUGAUGUUAUAUGAAAGUAUAACUAAUUUGGAUCAAAGUCAUUACACAUAAUGAGAAUAAAUAAUAUGAAUGACAAUAAUUAAAUAAUAUCAUGUCCAUUAAUUUUUAUAAGGAGUUUGUUUUUCCUCAACAUUCACCUAUCAGUUAUAAAUUUUGGUUUUGAAAAUUUGAAAAUUUGAAUAUUUACCUCAGGCAGCUAGCCCUGCUGUACGGCCAAGGCGGAUGUACGGUACAGCAGAUAUAUAUAUAUAUAUAUAUAUGAAUCUAGCUAAAGCUGACAAAUAAAUAAAAAAUUGUGAUAAUAAAAAAUAUAUAAAUUACAUAAAAAUUUCAUUAAAUUUUAUAAAAAUAUACACUUAAUUUCGAUAUUAAGCCUUUUUUUCCCCAAAAGAAUGGUAAUAAUAUGGGAAGAAAAGAGGCGCUUUCAGAAAAAAAUUUUCCAAGCCGUGCGUGCACGCAAAUAUUAUAAAUUCAAAAUUACAAUUCAAGUGUUCUUGUUUGUUUCUAAAUUCUUAUAUCCCGAUCAAAAGCGACGAAGGAAAAGAAUGGUCUUAUUUCCUUUGUUCCUCAUUCCUGCUUGGCAUAGGAUUUUAAUUAGAAUAUAUUAAUUCUUAGCUAGACUCCUUAGUGAUUGCAAAAAUAAUAAAUGAAUAAAAAAACCUCACGGGAAAAGGACAGGAAAAUCAAAUCCAAAAGAAGACAAGAUUAGAAAUAUGUCCAUUUAAUUAUACAUUCAUCACUUGCGCAUUCAAGAUUACAAGAUUACUUGUUCAUGCAAUUGCAAUGGCAAUCGCGAUUGAGCUUAGAGAAGUUUGUCCGAAUCCAUUCCGAAUAAUAAAAUUGCCUAAUGGUCUUUGGAAGGUCCGUUUCUGGAAUGAUGACAUCGAAGCAACGGUGACUCCAAAAGCUGGAACAGCGGAGUUCUGGAUAAGGGAGAUAUGCUACCAUCAUCGUCGUAGAAUUAACAAACAAGAACUCGUAGUGGGGCUAGACACGGAAUGGUGCUUGCCUUCCUCUGAGAACGGUCAUCAGAAAGUGGCCGUCCUUCAGCUCUGCGUUGGGAGGAGAUGCUUGGUGUUUCAACCGUGUCACAACUAUGGAAUCCCCUCAGCUCUUGUGGAGUUUCUUGGAGAUAAAAGGAUCACGUUUGUGGGAAAAGAAGUUGCGGCUGACGCCACAAAGCUGCUUCAAGAUUAUGGACUGCUUGUGGCAAAUGUAAGGGAUGUUUCCCGUAUGGCUGCCAACAAAUACGAGGACCCUGUGUAUUUAAGAUUUGGGCUAAGUAAACUAGUGUUUAAUAUUUUAAACGUUGGCAUGGAAAAGCCUAGAGAAAUUACAAUGAGCGAAUGGGAUAGGGAGGUGCUGAGCGAGAAACAGAUUCAGCAUGCAGCCAUUGAUGGGUUUGUUUCGUGUACGUUGGGUGUUGUACUGAUGAAGUCCGUCAAGCAGAAACAGAAGAGGAGAAUGAGGAAGAAAAGUAAAAAAGCUUCAUUCCAAAUCGAAAGGGAAGUAGAGAAGCAGGCAUUAUUAAUUAAGAAAUAGAUUAGAGUUUAAUUUGUCUUUCUGUUUUUUUUUUUUUAAAGUAAUAGAUUAGAGUUUAAUUUGUCUUUCUGUGUAGAGAAGCAGGCAUUAUUAAUUAAGAAAUAGAUUAGAGUUUAAUUUGUCUUUCUGUUUUUUUUUUUUUAAAGUAGAGAAGCAGGCAUUAUUUCUUUUUUGUUUUGGAAGUGUUGUUAAUUAAUUAAUAGAUUUUUUUCUUUUUUAAUCUUAAGUGCAGAAGUUAAUUAGUCUUUUUAGUCAUAUUAAUCUCCUGCUUCAUUAUGGAGAUACAAUUUUGAAAGAGACUUAAAAAAUAGUUUAUAGCCUACAAACUCUACGACAAUAACAUGUAACAAAUUGAUAUUCACUCAAGCUGAUGAAAUUUAUGAAUAUUCUUUAUUAAUUAUCAGUUGAUAGUGAUGCUCCUGAUCAGCAGGACGAAUAAAUUAACCUUAUUGCUGUCUUUGAUUUGAUCAAAGACGAAUGAAUUCUCAGCAUAUUUUGCGGUGAAAUAGUUGAAUAGUUGAUCCACAAACUCACUUCCAAAAUGUUUUUCGACAAGUCCCUCAAGGGGACAGCUCUAAUCUGUAAGGUUACAGAUUCGGCAGAGAGUUUCAAGUGCUUCAUGGGAGUAUCAAGCAAUUUGUCUAUUCUCUCAAUUGCUGAAACAUUCACUCCUCUCUGUAAUGGACUUCGGUUCCUUUGAGGUUGGGCAGUACAUAAAGGAGUCCAUUUUUUCUUCAUUAAUUAAUCCCCGCCAAUAAUGACAUUAAAACAAAAAAUUUGGAAACUUUGAGAAAAAUGAUCACAGCCUCUUAUUAUAUCUGUCGAAAUUAAUCAUUUGUCCUAUCAUGUUUUAAAGUCUAUCAAAAUUUACUCAUUGUUGAAAAAUAUUUUGUUAACUUUUCAGCUUUUUUUUGUGUCCUAAACAGUAUAUGUUCUCUUGGAUCGUGAAAAUUGCAGCCAUUUUUCAAUAAGAGUACUUGCGACUAACUAAUUUGCUGUCAAGUGUCAACGACUCAAUGGACGAACUACGUCCUUAUUAAAUAGCAACCAGGAUGUUAUUAUAAAAUUCUGAAAGAAAAAUUAUUAGGGAUCACAACAGAAAACAACGGAAAAUGAAAUUGUCGUACAAGCAUUGAAACUGAAACAAUUAAGUAUUAGGGAAACAGAAACACCGACGCCAUAUUUAGCACAUAAACGAAACUUGGGUUCUAAAAUUCUGCGGCGUAGAGUUGAUAUCUAAUCAAUUUCGCCUGAGUAGAACAAAUAAUUCAAUCUUGCCCUGUGUUUUCCCAUCGCAGAUGGAGCUCAUAUUUUCUGCAAGCUUUGUGGAGUAAUAGUUGAAAAUGCGAUCCACAAACUGGUAUCCAAAGUGCUGGCCGACGAGCCCCCCAAAGGCAGCUCGUGAUAGCGAGGCCCAAAAUUCAGCCGAGUAUACCAUGUGCACUAACGGAUGUGUAAAGGUAUUCAUUAUCUCAAUGCUGAAGUUUUUGUUUCUCUUUAUAUGGCCCAUUAACUCCCCAAGAAAUGGAUAGUACAUAGGCACAUUGAAGGAAUCCACUUUUUCUUCAGCAAUUAAUCCCUGCAAAUAAUAUAUUAAUAUAAACAAGUAACAAUUAAUUAAUUGGGAUGUGAUCAUGAUCAUCAGAAAUAAAGACCUAUGUCCUAUAUAUUACAUAUAUGUAGGUGUGUGUUCUUGCUUACCAUAUUGGCCAAGUCAUAGAGGCAAGAGCCUAGAUAAUCAAAAUUUGUACCCUCAGGAGUACUGAACAUAGGGAUCCCAUCUCUUAUUGUAGGUGUUAGAAGGAGUAACAAUCCCCCAGGCACAAGUUCUUGAGCUCUAGCAUUUAGAAAGGACUCAAUGUCAUUCUUAAACUGAGCUGAAUACGCUUCAGCAACUUCUUUCUCAAAUCCUGAGCAGAGUAUAUGGCCUCUAUUCCACGCAGGAGAGUUACUAUUCGUAAUUUCUUUGGGAAUCUUGGAGAGCCACGGAAGGGCAUUGGAUGUGUGUGCAACAUGUAGAGACGACUCAGGAAACAAGCGGCCGUGAAAAGAGCCCGGCACUCCGGUCGCAAAGUAUUUUUGGGAGAGAGGGACGGAUUUGAAGAGAGUGUUGAAGUCAUUGUUGGAGUGAUCAUUAAAGAAAACUUGGAAUUCUAGGCCUGAAGGGUUGUCGUGUUCGCAUUCACAAUCAUCUUGGUACUUAAUUAGCUCUAUGGCUUCUAUAAUAUUUUGCAUGGCAAUGAACGUGUUAGGUCCAGUUGAGCAGCCUAAAUCAGCAAUCUUAAAUGUGCUGGAGGUGUCUAGUCUCAGGCUUUUCAGGUCAAGCGUUUUGCGGAUGCCUGCAGCGAUCAUUCCCUUUGAACCAUUCACGAUUGCCUCCUAGCAGCCAUAUAUAAUUAAGCCCGAGCGUCAGAUUUAGUGAAAAACAAUGCAAUUGAUGACAAAAUUAAGAUGUCAAAUUAAUGGAAUAUCUAAACAAUGAAAGAAAUUAAUGGAAAGCUUAGUAACAUAGCUAGUCAGAGAUUAACCCUGAAUUGACUAGCAGCAACAGAUACCUGGUAGAUAGAAUUCUUAGCAUAGCUGUGAGGUCCGUCUCCCCCAACCAUGGGGUAUGCCUCGGGCGAAAUAUUGGAGACGAAUGUGUUAUGAACCAUUUUCUCUUAAUCUCUCUACAAUAUACUAAACGAUUACUAUGUGCCUGCAUUUAUAGCCAUUAUGGUAUAUCAUUGUCAUAACAAGUAGCACGAUAACAAUAUUGUGUUUGAUUACUGUUAAUCUCUCCCAUUGAAACUUUUGCUCGAUACUAAGAUAAUAUCAUCCAGGCCCCUGAGUUUUAACCAAAAAAGAAUCAAGGAUAUAGUUAUGAAGCUUUAACUCAACGUGCGAGGACUUUUAUGAAUUAUAAGACACUGUAUUCCCUCUACUAAUGUAAGGACCUAUAUGAAAAUGUUUUACAAGCUAUUUCGUAAUUUGUUGUCUUCUGAAAAAUCAAGGAACCAGAUAUUUACUACCCAUUUGAUGACAGCAUUGCUUGUGCGCAGCUUCUAGCAGCCUUGUGAUUUUGCUAGCAAGAAGUGACAAAGCGAUGGCGGGCUCCGGCAAACGACCAGACAUGGGCAUGGUCCUGGUCCCUAGGCGAUGAUUAUUCAUUGAAUUAAGUCGUAUUUAAAUUAUUGUUUUAGUAUCAUUAUUGCUUAUCUUAAAAAAAAAAAAAAAAUUUGAUUGUGUAGUCAGUAGUCACUGUAUUAUAUUUAUGAAGUCAUCUUUUAAGCCACUUGGUCCGCGGCCAGCUGGCAGGCUGCUGGCUCUUACAAUAAUUGCGAGAGUAGCUCACAGUUGAUCGAGUUCGGAGAAUUAGUAGAGGUAAUUAUCUCUCCUGUAGUUUGUGGGUGGUCGCAAUGUAUAUUUUAUGUAAAUAUUUGAAGACUUGUACAAUUGUAAAUUUGUAAUUUUCAAAAAAAGGAAAAGUCAUUUUUUAAAUUAUUAAGUCGUCUUAAAUUAUUGCUUAUCUUCAAAAAGAGAAUAAAAAAAAUUAUUGCUUGUUUCAGCUUUUGGUACGAGAGUAGGGUUUGUUGGUUAUACAUUUAAAAUUUUAUUUAUUUCAUACUUUUUUAAAUUUAUUUUUUUAGUAACCAGUGUCUGAUUUUAAAUAUUUAUAAUUAAAAAAUAGUAAAAUUUUGUGACUUCUAUCUAAAUAAAAAAGUCUAAAUGAGAAAUAAAUAUUAUACUAAAAAAUAUCUUUUAUAUAAACGUCUAAAUAAUACAAUAAAUUUUUUUAUUUAUUAAAACUUAAUUCUUUUUUAUUUUGAUUUACAAUAAUAUAAAUGUAAAAAAAAAUUAUGUUUAAGAUUUUUUUUUAUACAAAUAAUAUCACUGUCACUCUUAUUCGUAUAUUAAAAAAAAUAAAACAUUUAUAACCUUUAGAUUUUUUGAAAAAAAUCAUAACUAUUCAUAUUUAAAACGAAAAAAAUAAAUAAAUGCUAUCAUUUGCUCUAUAUUAUUUCCUUGUGUCACUUGUAUAUGAAUAACUUUAUAUUCAUUCAUGGGGAAGAUAAAGACAAUCGGAAAAAUGGGAGCCGCCUUUGUAGAAGCUUACUAACUAAUAAAUUUCCUGAACAAAUUUGUUUGGUCAAAAUGACAAAAGCACAAAUAUUGUUUUAAGUCCCAAUCUCAUUAAGAUUCGAAGAGCAGCCAAAAAGGAAAAAAUAAAAAUAAAAAUCAAUCGACAAAUAAUUAUUAUAAUUUGUUAAUUGUUGAUUAUAUGAUGGGAAUGCUGCAAUCUAAGCUGGAGAGUCUUCCAGUGUCCAAACUUCUCAUUCUAAAAUUUUUUUUAAAAAAAAUGAUAAUUUAGUUUUUUUUUUUUUUUUGUUAAAUGAUUCAAAAGAAAAACGAAUCUUAAUCUCGUAGCUGUAUCAUGUUGCACUUGCACCUCACCUUUCUAAUAACUACAAAUAGAAUCUAAUAAUUAAUCUUAAUUAUUCUUUAAAAAAACAAAAAACAAAACAAAACGAAUGAGCGGUUGAUCAAAAUAAUAGCAACUCCCAUUAUCAACUGGUUUGAAGAAUAAAAUAAUAGCAAUUGCCUUAAAAUCCAAAUACAAUAAAUAUAUACUAAUAGAGGUUAUUAGAUUAUAACGAAAUUGAAAGAGCUAUUAUUUAUUUAUUACUAAUUAAAUAUAUUCCAACCGUUUCCUGGGGGGCAUCCAAUGCCAGGAUUAGAAUAUCAUAUCUAUUAUCUAGAGAAAUUAAAUUAUUAGAAUAAAUUGAUUUAGAAUUUAAAAAAAAUAACAUUGAAGAGUUUAAUCAAUGAUAAAUGCCCCCAGAUCUCCCCGAAUUUGAACAUUUUCCAAGUCGCCCUCUGAAAUAUUAAUAAUGUAGAAGAUCAAUUAAAACGAGAACCCACAGUAUAACUACAGAAAUAAUUAAGUGAUCACCGAUCAGCCUACUUAAUUGAUCAAUCAAGAAUUGCUUUUUAAUUUUUGCCUCUAGAAAAUAAGUGAUGUACUUCUUGAAUCGUGCCACCAAGGGCUAAUUUAGUAAUGUUGUAUCUUUUAAAAUAAUUAUUGUUAGUUGUGCUGUAAAAAUAAUCAACUGUGAUGAGAAUCAAUUAAAAGUUUGAUAAAAGUUAUUUUUAAAAGUAGAGUAAAUUUUAAAAACAGUCAUGUAUGUUUGAUAAUUCUUACUGUUAAACUACUAUAAGAACUUAAACGACUAAAUUAAACAUAAUGUUAAAUAAAAUAUAUAUACACAUGUAUGUAAUUUUUUUUUUGUAUAUCUAAUAAUUGAUAACUAAAGUUCUUAAUUAUGUUAUAAAUAACUUUACAUAUUGAGAACUUUAGAACCAUCUAAAUUUGAUCCAAUUAGUAAAUACGUGGUCUAAAUUUGACGUAUGUUAUAAUUAACUGCGUAAUCUUAAUUAAGUCAACUUGAAGUCUAUAACUCUGGGGUGUGUGAGUUGUGUUAACAUAUAUUGUGUCACAAAUGGUCUCUCCUCAAAGAAAGCACUAAGCGAGGUAAAAGAUAUUCAUCAAUUUCGUUAUUUAUUUAUUUAUUUUUUCGCAAAGAGGUUCAUCAACUCAGUUUAGAACAAUAGAAUUCUGUUGUGUUGGUUGUUAAGCAGAGUAAGCAUUAUCCGGCUGUGUAAUUAAUUUGUUAAGAGCAAUUUUCUUCCACUUUUCUAGCACCUCCUCAGAGCUUUGUAUGUUAGCCAAUGUUCCCGUUUUUUGAUAUCUUGAUAAAGCAUUUUCUCAGGCUCUCUUGCUUGAUUAUUGAAAAUUAUUUUGGGCUCAGAAUUUCAUCAUAGAAGCCCUAUGAGUAGAAGCCCAAGCCACGAACUGCGUAAGUCCAUUCCAAACUCACUCACGCCCAUUUAAUCUUUUAAUGUGAAAACUGAAAAGUACACUAUUAAUAAUUUAAUCAUAUCACUUCUUGAUCAUUAAAAAAAAAAAAAAUUUAAUCAUAUCACUUCUUGAUCAUUAUUUAAUCUUUUAAUGUGAAAACUGAAAAGUACACUAUUAAUAAUUUAAUCAUAUCACUUCUUGAUCAUUAAAAAAAAAAAAAUUAAUAAUAAUAAUAGUAGUACUAAAAUCAUAUCACUUCACUUCAAAUACAAGUUAUUUGCAAUAAUUGGAGUCAGAAAUUAAACAAGUGGGGCCAAUUAUCAUCUCCCCUAAGUAUUGUGCUUAAGAAUGAUAACAUUUUCAACAAGGGGCUUGUAGACUGACGUCUGAGAAUAAACUGAAGACUCAUCAAUUUUCUUUGAGAACCUAUCAAACAGGUCCUCAAUAAUGCCAUUCCCAAAGUGCUCCUUGACAAGCAUUUCUAAAUUAGCUCUCAGAUGAGAAACCACUGUUGGGGUAUUUGUAGCCAACGGACGCUGCGCAGACAAAGCUAAUGGCUCAAAUUUCUCAAUGCUGAAACUUGCAUUUCUCUUUAACAAUGCCUUCAAUUCUUGUGGUGUUGGGAAGUAACUUGGCAAGUUGAAGGAGUCAACCUGAGCUUCACUCAGCAAUCCCUGAAACAAGAUUAAGCAAUUAUGUCAACAUUUGUAAUUGACCGCACAAAAUUAAUAUGAAAAGUUACCAUUUUGGCCAUGUCCAUAAGACAGUCUCCCAGUAGAUCAGCAGAAGCUAAGACAGAGCACUCUCCAGGGGAAAUCCCAUCCGGCAGACAUGGUACAAUAAGAGCCAUUAGCCCUCCGGAAGCGAGCUCUUGUGCCCUGGCUAGUAAAAAGGACUCAAUUCCCUUGGCAGAUUCAGCUGAGUAUGCUUCUACAACUUCAUUUGGGCCUCUGCUGUAAUAAAUCCUCCCCUUGUUGUAGGCAGGUGAGUUCUGGUCAUUCAACUCUUUUGGCGUGCUUGAGAGCCACUGAAGGCCGUAUGAGCAGUGGAAGAAAUUGAUUGAAGCCUUGGGAAAUAACCGAUUGUGAAAAGAACCCGGUACGCCGGCUGCAUAGUAUUGUCGAUCGGAAGGAAGAGACUUGUAAAGGGCGUUGAAAUCGUUUGAGACAAGGUCAUUAAAGAACACUUGAAAUUCAAGUUUAUCAUGGCCAUAGCUUUGGCACUUGAGUUUCACAGAAUCUAUUAUGUUUUGUACAGCGUUGAAUGUGUUUGGCCCAACAGAACAUCCUAAAUCCGCAAUGGAAAAUACUUUUGAAGAAGAAGACGCGACUCGAUUUAAAUCAAGCUUAUCAGAAAUCACCCGGUUGAUUAUGGCUUUGGCUGUUUCCACUCCGUGGCUCUACAAAUUGUUAAAUGCUAGAUAUAAAUGACUUGUAACAUUUUGCAGCAUCAUUUUCAAUAAAAGCUGCCAUAAUUUAAGCAUUUGUUUUAUACAAGACACUGUUUUAUGUGGGCUAAAAACAGUACCUGAAACUCAGAAUUGCGCGCGUAACUGUACUGCCCAUCUCCUCCCAUCAUUGCUUGCGAUGAAACAGAUUCAGAGGCCAUAUCUUUCUAUUCUCUGGUGGUUGAUCUUGUUACUGAAUGAUAAACUUGAAGAAAUGGUUGCAGGAAAAUGAUUGGUUUAUUAAAUUAAAGUGAUAGCAUAUAAUAAAGUGGUGCAUGUUUGACCAGCUAAUGGCGAAAACUAGAAUUUUUCUUCUUGUCCAGCCCUUGUCUCACUUUGUCUAAAAGAGCCCGAUCCCAAUCGUUUGUCACCGCAAAUAAUUUUAUUGAUUACAAAUUUUCUAAAACAAUUCCUAUCAAAGGCCGAAAAAAUAAAAAUAAAACAAUUACAAAACUGCCUGCUAUUUGUAAGGAGUAAUGAUAUAGUUACAAACUCUUGUACACAUUUAUUUUGUACAAACAGACGUGACAUUAAUUUAUUGGUUGAAUGAAAAUAUAAAAUAAUAAAAACAAAUCAUGUAGGCCAAAUGAUAUUUAAUUCAACCAAUCUUAUCAUGUCACAUCAGUUUGUACAAAAGUUUGUGGCUAUAUUAUUACUCAUUUGUAAGAUAUAUACUUAAGUAAAUCAUCGUUAUACUAAAAAUAAUAUUUCUAAAUAAGACACCUAAUAAAAGUACAAAACUCCAACAUGUAUGACAAACAUUAAAAAAGUUUAGAACAAAGUUGUAACUUAUACAAGAUUCAAAAAUUGUACGCGACAUCAUAUGAUAAAAAACCGAAAUACUGUGCCCAUUGAUAUACAGACAGUAGGUAGCCGAGCGGAAAAGUUUUUCGCAUAGCUAUGAUCGCCAUCUCCGCCGCCAAUGGGUAAAGCUUCAGGCGGAACGUUGGUAGCCUCAUCAGCCAUAUUUUUAACUAUUUGGUUUAGUUCCCAAUCUUAUGCUAUGAUAUACAUAGUGCAUUGACUAUAUAUGGAAGCAAUGAAAUCCCUUUGUAUAAUCCCUACUUCUUCAAUUUAUUUAUCUUCUAAUUAUCUUUUAUAUUUGAAUUUAAAAUUAAAGGAAAGUGACAAGUGCUCCAAAUGCUCUUGAUAUUAAUUUCUCUACCAUAGUGUUAGAAAAUUACGAAUGUGCUGUUUGUUUUUUAAUAUGAAGUUUGAAUUUAAUUUUUUUUCGGACAUUUACUUAUUUUAGUUUUUUUUUUUAAUUUAUCACUUAUUGUCAGACAAUUAUAUUUGAAUAAAAAAAGUAAAAAAAGUCAACUUUUAUAUGAAGUCUGAAAUGUAAAUGGGAAAUUUUAAUUUGAAAUCUCAAAAAUAACCUUAACAAUUCAUGUAUUUCCAAUAUUAUGUAUAAACUUAAUAUUUUUGUAUUAUCCUAAGUUAUUUUUUUAAUUGCUUCAAAUUUUUAUUCACAUGGUAACAUUAAGUAAAAUUGAAACAUUGAACAAAUUAAAUUAUUUCCAUUGUGAUGAAUCAAAACUAAAACAAUAGUGUUGAUUUUAUAAUAAAAGUUGAUGUUAUAAUUACAUCUUUUAUUAUAAAAUUAAAUUAAAAUCAAUAGUGAUAGUACUUUUUUUUUGUGCUACCAAACUAAUCAACUUGUAAAAUUUAUAAAUUGUAAAAAAUAAAUAUAUGCAUCACUUAAAAAGAUAUUUAUGUUAAAUUACUAGUUUUUAAACUUUUCUGUUCAGAUGUUGAAAAAAGAAACAAACAUGUCAUUCGGAUAUUUUCAUUCAGAUAUAUUUAGACUUUAGUUAAAUUCGGAUCUAUUCAGAUUUCAGAUAAAAAAAACAAACGCAGCCUAAGGCUCUUGUCUCCCCUUAGAAAUUGUUGGACUAUGGUAUUUUUUUUAAUUAAUUUUUUAAGGUAUGACGGCGCAUAAAUUGGUUGUUUAAGUUAUAAUUUGGUUUAGUCUGAAUUUUCAUCUAAAUUAAUCCCAAAACUAUUUGGCCUUUCUUACAUUACCAUGGUGGACACAAUAUGGCCAUUGAGAUUGAAAUUGUCAACCAAGUAACUAGUAUCAAUUCAUAAGUAAUAUUGUGGUGGUCAUUGAGAUAAUAUUAUUUGAUUAAGUUUAUUUUGUAAAAAUAAACGAAAUUCCUAAUAUAAAGUCCCUACAUGGUCACUAAAGUAGAAACUAGAAGUCUAGAAUUAUAUAUAUCACAUAGCAAUAGACAAUACAGUGCCAUAAUAACAGAACAAGACACUGCCGAUACAUGAAAUAUAGGUACCAUACGUGACUGUAGUUCUGGAGCAAAAGUAAUUAUGUAUCAGUUGAUCACGCGCUUGAGUAGGACGAAUAAAUUGACAUUGUUAUGGUCCUUGAUGAGCUCACCGAAGAUGAAAUUCUCAGCAAACUUUGCGGUGAAGAAGUUGAAUAUCUUGUCUACAAGGUCAUAACCGAAAUGCUCUUUGACAACGCCCUCAAACACAGCUCUGAUUUGUGAGGUAACAGAUUCGGGACUCGGUUUCAGGCGCAUCAAAGGAGGAUCAGGCAAUUUGUCCAUUCUCUCAAUGCGGAAGCAUCCAUUUCUCUCUAUGAUAGCCUUCAGUUCCUCUGCGGUUGGAAAGUAUAGAGGAAUGUUGAAGGAGUCCACUUUUUCUUCAUCAAUUAAUCCCUGUGUACGUAAUACAAAAUUUAAUGAUUGAUCAAGAUUUUGCAGAUCAUGCAAACUUAAUAUUGGUUUUAAAUCAUACCUUUGUGGUCAUGUCAAUGAGGCAAGAGCCGAGAAAACCAUAUAAUUUACCCCCAUUAGAAUCAAUCAUAGGAACACCGUUUGGUAGACUAAAUAAAACGAAAACAAUCAAUCCUCCAGGCACAAGUUCAUGUGCUCUGGCAUUCAGAAAUGCCUCCGUGUCAUUCUUAAACUGAGCCGAAUAUGCUUCGGACACUCCUUUCACCAAUCCUGAGCAUAUUAUACUGCCUUUGUUCCAUGCAGGAGAUCUACUAUCCAGAAUUUCUUUCGAAAUCUUGGACAGCCAGUUCAGUGAGCUGGAGGAGUUUGCAAAAUGUAGAGAGGACUUGGGAAACAAACGGCCGUGAAAGGAACCCGGCACCCCGAAGGCAAAGUAUUUUCGGGAGGGAGGCAUGGUUUGAAAGAGAGUGUUAAAAUCGUUACCAUAGUGAUCGUUAAAGAACACUUGAAAUUCCAAAGCUGAUGAAGAGUUUUGAUGAUUGUCCUGAUGAUCAGCACGGUAUUUUGUUUGUACAGCUUCUAUGAUGUUUUGCACAGCAAUAAACGUGUUCGGUCCAACGGAGCAGCCAAAAUCUGCUAGUUUAAACGUACCGCAAGUGUCGUCAAAUCCCAGGCUUUUCAGGUCAAGCUUAUCAAAUAUUGACUCACUUAUCAUUUCCUUUGCAGCAUCUAUUAUCAUCCUCUGUAUAUUUAUGCAAAUCCACAAUUCUAGUGUUAGUAAGUGUACAUCGAUAUGUAAAAAGAAAAUUCAAUACAUAUUAACAUGAUUUAAAUUAGCAAAUGGGAUUAAAUUAAAAAAAAAAAAUUAUACCUGGUAGCCUGACUCAGUAUUAAUAAGCCAAAAAUAAACUCAUCAAAUAAAUCAGUAGAACAUAAAACAUACUUACUAAGUCUCAGUAUGUAAUUAAUGUACCUGGAAAGAAGAGUUUUUUGCAUAGCUGUAAUCGCCAUCUCCGCCAACCAUGGGAAAUGAUCCUGGCAAAACGUUCGCAGCCUCAUCAACCAUUUUUAAUAUAUAUAUAUAUUAUCCCUUUCUCUGAGAUGUAGCAGAUAUCUUUUUAAGGCUGCAAUCCUAGUUCCAUGAAGCAACAAUAUUAAUAUAUAGCACAUGCAAGGAGCCUGUUCUGACAUCGAAAUCAGUUUCUAUUCGAAUGCAUGAUUAAUACAGGUUCUGAUUAUUUGACCAAUCUUAUUUUAAGUUGCCAAUCUUGUUAUGCAAGAUGCAUUGACAAUAUAUGUGGAAGAAAUGAGUUCCACCUGUUUUAAUUUAAGAAUGAUGACAUCAAGGUGUGAUUGAGCAGAAAUUGACCUUUAAGUUAUGAAUUGGUUUGUUUUGAAGUUUCUCUUAAUUAUUCCCAAAAGUAUUUGAGCGUUUUUUAUUGCAGCCUCCCUCAUAUAACUAUGGAGGACAUUGGAACACCACCUUGUAUAACAAAGCAUUUUAUAAAAUUGGAUAUCUGAGUUCUCGAGUUCAGAUUUUAGGAUGUGAAGAUUAAUAAUUUGAUUUAGAUGUUACUAUUUUUUUGUUUUUAUUUUUUACAAAAGAGAAUUAUAUACACACACACACGCAUUUACGGGUCGAAACACAAAUUUACAGGGAAAUGUGCCAUAUAUCCUUUAAAUAGAAGUCUUUAACAUUUUCCUUGUAUAUUUUUUUAACCAAAUCAAAUGUAACAUAUAAUAUUUCCGUUAAUACCAAACCUUAUUGUCAUGGACAUAACCGCCCAUUUUCCCACCAAAAUGCGUCUCUUAGCAGACCCAUAUAUCUCUCUACAUUCCUCCACUUGCUCUGCUGAUUGGUUCUCGAGAAACCCAAUUCAAAGAUGGAGGGUGACGCUGCUGCUUCGGGCGAUUUUGACAUGCAAGUGAUUGGGAAUUUCUUGAGUUUCGCGUCUAGAGGUGAUAGAGUUGGGCUAAACCAGAUGUUAAGGGAAGGCACAUCUCCAAAUGUGCAGGAUUAUGACAAGAGAACUGCUUUACAUCUUGCUGCAAGUGAAGGCCACGCCCCCAUUGUUGAGCUUCUUCUUCAAUACAAGGCCAAUCUCAACCUCAAAGAUCGAUGGCAACGCACUGUAAGCUAGCUGACCCACCCACUUGCCCUUUUGUAUUUUUAAGUCACUUGUCUAAGUGAUUGUAAUUGUGGUUUUUGCUGUGAUUUUCGGUUCCCUCAAUUACUUUUCAAAAUUUGGAGUAUUUGGAAUUACUUGCUAGCAUGUUACUGUUAUUUGCAAACUCUUGAUCAUCCUCUGGAUAAAAUUUAUUUGCAUGUUUAACGUAAAGUAAUUAGUUUGAUCUUUGGUUGUAUUACGAAGCCCUUGACAGAUGCAAGACUUUAUGGCCAUCGAGAUAUAUGCAGAAUCCUGGAAGUAAAUGGAGGGAAGGAUUUUAUUCAUGAUCAGCCACUGGUAAUUGGAAAGUAAAACAUUUAAUUAAGUACUUCAUGAAUGAACUCAACACCACAAUGUUUUGUUUAAUUUUUAGCUGUAAAAUGGUUUGAUCCUUUUAGAUGGUUAAGUUUAGGCCACUUGAGAUGGUUUGAUUGUGGACAUUGGUAAGAAAAUUUUUGAUAGCCGCAAUUCGAAAGAUUGAUCCAGAGCAUAAAAUUAAUUAUCAUUAAUGGAAGCUAAAAGUUGCUUAGGAAGUGUCUUGCAUUAAGUAGGACGGAUCAUCCUUCUCCCGUUUUUGUUUCAGAAGAAAGAAACUGACAUUUAUUUUGGAUAACUAUUACGGCAUAUUGUUCAUUAUUUAUGUAGACAGUCAGAAACGAGAAAGAUUCAAAUGAAGUAAAUUUUGAUAUUUCGGAACUGAAUACACUGCACUCCUCAAUGGUUGAACAGGUGCGUUAAUUGAAUUGCCACUAUCAGUUCAUAACAUUAGAAGAAUUUCGUACCAAAGUGUCCAGUUAUUCUCAAUGUGACUAUAAUUAUAUGAGAGAAAUUCUUCUUGUCCUAGGGGGUUUUUGGCGAAUCUCAAACAGCCAAGUGGCGUGGAACGUGGGUGGUCAAAACUGUGAUUAAGAGCCACAUAUAUCAUCCUGUAAAAAUGUAUAUGACCUAUCAGAUUGUUCAUUUUAUUAUCUCAAGUCUUUUGUCAUAUCUUUUUUCAAAUGAUUUGGUUGAGUCUGUGGUGGCUGAGGGAAUAUUUUGACAGUGAAGAUAUUGAUGACUUUAUUUUCAAGCAUGUUGCAGGGUAUUGUCUGCCAAGGAUAACUGUAAGCUGCGGGAGCUUCGACAUCCUAAUAUCUUGCAGUUUCUUGGUUCAAUUGUCCUCGGGGAGGAGAUGAUUCUGAUUACGGAAUAUCUGCCAAAAGUAUUUCUUACUUUGAAUAUCUAAAUUGCUUUUCUGCAAGUUGUUGGGAUUAAUUAUAGUUUUAGUUACUGGCUAUAGCUCAUAAUAUUCCUAAUAUUUUGGCUUUAGUCCAAUAAAGUUUCUAACUACUACUGAAUAUGCGUAACAUUCAAUAUGUACUUUGUCAUCAGAGAACUUUACUACCUACAAAUCCUGAGAAAUUUGGAGUUGUGGUUUGAGGCAGGGUAGUUAACAGAGGAUGUUUAUGCAAGUUAUGAACUUUAAAUUUAAUGUCCAAGGAUGUGGGUGUUCUGUAUACAAGUAAUAAGAUCCAUAAAAAGUGACUGAAACCAAUUUCUAGGCAUGAUUUAGUUAUUAUAAAUAAUGUGAAAUAAUUAUUCUCCUAUUCUAUUUUCUCUCAUAUGAUUUGGAAGAUUAGACCUGGAAAAUGGGAAGCUUAUUUUCUGUGAUCAUUCUGUCUUGGUCAGGUAUGUUUGAUCAACUGAUCUUGCUAAUUGUUACCUAUGCUAAUCCAGGGAAACUUGAAAGGGAUAUUGUCCAAGAAAGUUCGACUCGACUUACCCACUGCUCUACGCUAUGCACUUGAUAUUGCAAGGUGAGAUACUUUUGUUCCUUGCCACUAAACAGAGGAUUUGCUUAUCAGUAUCAUGUCAAAAUGUUUUCUCCUCAUAUAUGCAACAGACAUGGCAUUGUACCAUGUAGCAAUCAGAAUUGUUCUGUCUAUAUGAGUAAACCUUAAACACAAAUUUAUUUCCAUUUGUUUGUAUUAAACAUGAACUAAAUGUGUACUCUUAAUUUUUAAAACAAUUGGCAGAGGAAUGAAUUAUCUUCACGAGCACAAACCCUUCCCUAUAGUUCACAAUCAUUUGGACUCCAGGUAGCAUUUUAAUUUUCAUGAACAUAGUUGUGACAACUGAAUAAUGAUCCUAGAAAGUCAUCUUUCAUUUUUCGUUUGCUGGAUGUAGAAAUCUGCUGCAAGACGAAGGUGACCACUUGAAGAUUGGAGAAUAUUGGGUUCAAAUGUUCUAUGAACAAAUACACCCAAACCAAGAAAACAGUAUGGAACGUCAUUUUCAGUCAACUUCUUGCUUUUAAACUUCGCUAUUGCAUCUCAAAAACCUAUUCUGUUUCUCAGGUCAAAGAAAUGAUAAUUCUAGCAUUGCUAGCAAUGUAUUGGAUGACACCAAGAAAGAUAUUUGUUCAUUUGGAUACAUAUUUUAUCAGGUAUAUAUUUGGAAUACAACGGCACACAUGAGACCUCCUAUUCUUAUAUCAUCAGUGGAUCUACAUAGGGGAAACGUUGUCUGACGUUAUGAAGAAAUAUAACAAUUUAGUUUAGAUUGAUGUGAGCAGAAAAUGAGUAGCAAAUUGGGAAUUCUGCUCUAAAGGAUCCCAAUCCUUUUUAUCCCCAUGCUUUCUUAUUUAAAUAACGUAUCCUAUUGACAGUUUUGUCAUUUUUGUGUUUGAAAUAUGAUUGUGCCACAGAUGCUAGAAGGAAAGCACCUGCAGACCAAUAAUAGCUUUGACUUCAUGCAUCUCAAAUCUGUCAAUUUUGAGCCAAAGUUUCAAAUAAGCCGAUGCCCCAACCGACUUAAACAGUAAGUGAACAUAAUUUCCAUCUAGAUCUCAUAGUGUUAAAUUUGCAAAAUCUCUGUUUACAGCAUAUGAAGUAUUAAAAGCAUUCUGAUUAUAAGUAGUCAAAUGAAACAAUCUUAUCAUGAUGCAAGAGGGAUAAAAAAAAAAUUGUGUGCCAUAACCUAACAAAUACUGAAGAGGAAUCAAGCAUCAAAAUCCUUAUAUGGCCUUUGCACGUGCCUUUUCAUAAGAACCCUUUAGCAAUCACAUGGUUAAUAAUUGCAGGUUGAUAGCGCAGUGCACAAACAAGGAUCCUUCUAAAAGACCUACAUUUGCUGCCGUCAUUAUAACUCUGGAAGAAGUCUCUGCUUGUUUGGGGAGAAGCGCAUUAUGCCCAGUAUGUUAAUUGCAGCGUAACAAUGUACAUAGAGGAGCACUGCAUCAAUAAUUCAUAAUCUCCCCAGCCGUGUAGUGAGAAAAAGUUACAAUUAAUAUUAUGCUAAGUAUAAUGAUUGAUACAUUGUUUUAACCGUGCUUCCUACUGGUAAUAAGUUUAUUAUUACAUGGAGAAAAAAGUUGCAGAGCUAUUGUUUCAUUUUUACCGAAAUUCUUAUUUUAUUUUCAACAUUAAUCAUAUGUAGCAUCUUGUCCUGUACUCGGAUUGCUGUGUACAAUCAACAUAUCUACUAAAAAUUUGAAAUCAUCAUAAACAGAAGAAUUAGAAUUUACAUGUGAAAUUGUGUUUUAGAAUGUUUAAAAUCAACGAUUGUACACCCCAACGUACUGGUAAAUGGUAACGGUGACAUCUUCCUCGAAAGCAUCUACCCAGCUCGCUAGCUCAAAGUUGAAUUAAAAUAAUGGCACCCAAGCAAAGCAUACGGAAUCCUUAAUUAAUAAACAAAAAUAUAUUGAAUAAAGGAGAAUGAUGCAAGUAAUUAUAUACUUGAUGCUUUGCCCGUGGGCGCACUCAAGCUCGAAUGAGAUGUAAUCCAAUAGAGUUCAAUGGUCAGGUGGGAAAGCAAUUUAUUAUGAUUCAAUUAUUCUAAUAGCGUAGCAUAGUUUACAACCAGUUACAUGUAUAAGAAAUAUCAAAUCAUAAUUUGGCAAGCAACGUCGUUCACUGUAUGAUGACUGAUCGAGGUGGGGCUCUGAGAAACUCUAUUAUUGAGCUUCUUUGACCGUAUACGAGAAAUAUCAAAACAUAAUUGUCACUCUUUCUCAAUGUAAUUAAGAGUAUUUCUUAAUACGUGUUUGGGGAAUUAAAUAAAAAUAAAUGGGUACAGAGAAAGUGGGCGAUCCCGUGACGCAGCAGGAAUAUGAUGACCCGCACCUCAGCGUGAACGGUGGCAACCGACUGCGACACCGCCACCGUCACUGCUUUCAAUUGACUUCCCCUUUUUGGCCAUUUUAUAAAAUAAUAAUCGUAAUUAUUGGUUGAUUUUACCAAGAUCUUACGCAAAGGCAAAGCUGACAAUCCAUUCGAGGUCAACCCCCAUAUGCUAGCUUUUAGCCUUUUACUUCUUCAACAAAUUUUCGUAAUAAGAUUGAUUUCAUUUUAGCUUUUUCUUUAACAAAAGAAAAAAAAUAAAAUUUGAGAUCAUAAAACUUAAAUAUGAUGCAAUUUACUCGGAUCUGUUUACUGAGACUCUUUUUCUAUUUUGUAACCAUCUCCAGACAGGCGGCAGCAAAGGCCACGCAUUUAAGGUCCCACGCGUUACAAAAUAUUCAACUAGGAUCAGAUUAAAAGAUUUAACUGUAGUUACAACUAGGAUGGGACACGUGCAAGAUUACUUUCCUAAUCCUUUCCGCUUCUUGAACAGUUCUCAUUGUGCUUUACUCCUUUUGCCCAACGCGGACAGCGGACUCAACUAUAAUUGUCAACUCAACUCCCGAGACAACUGUCCCCCUGCUGAUACUGGGAAAUUAUCCUAUUUGUCCCUAACAUUUUUUAUCUUUUAAUGUAAGAACACAAUUUUUCCAUUGAUAUCAAGUAUGACCCCAACCCAUUGGUUUCUGUUUUCAUACAUUUACAACGUAAAAUAUGUAUACGUAUAGAAAAUCCACUAAAAUUAAAUGAUAAGACCUUUAUUUUCACAGUCUCUACAGUUAUAAAUAUAUAUCUACUCUCACUAAUAUUUAAAAAGAUAUAUAAUAUCUCUAUCUAUAUUUAUUAAAUAAUAACAAAUACUUAAUCUUUUAAUAAUUCAAACUAAUGCCUUCAAUACUACUAAAGGCAUAAAUCAACAAUUCAUUGUACAAUAAAUUUGAGUGGUAAUCUCUAUUAAUAUCAUUUAAGUAUUUUUACAAUUUUGAAAGUUAAUAAUGAAGGGUAUUUUAGCCAUUUUAAUGCUAGCUAAUGCUUAAUAUGGACUUAUUUUAUAAAAAAAAGAAAAAUUGUCCUUACAUAAGAAAAUAUAACAUCUGGGGACUUCAAUGAUAAAAUCCCUUUAUAAGAUUAUUCAAUUCUGAAUCUUCCGACCUUUUCUCCCCUGUUCAUUCCCUUAUAAAUCUGUCAACUUCCAUUCCCACACCACAAUAUUUCCAUCUUGUAUUCUCUUCUUUCUUGAAUCUUGGGUUUGAUCCUCCCCAAUCUUCUCUCUCAUAUUUGACGCUUCAUUCGUAGUUUUAUUGCUUCAUCUCUUCUGCAACUCUUAAUUAAUUACCAUGGGCAAUCACAUAUCGUGCACACUAUCAAAGCCACUAGGCAAGCACACAAGAUCAGCAAAAGUGAUCUUUCCUGGCGGAGAAAUAAGGCAAAUCCAGACACCCAUCAAAGCCGCAGAGCUCAUGCUGGAGAAACCAAACUUCUUCUUGAUUAACUCUCGGUCUCUAAAGAUAGGCCAAAGAUUUUCUCCACUCAACGCCGAUGAAGACUUGGAACCAAAGAAUGUGUACGUAAUGUUCCCCAUGAAGAGGGCGACGUCUAAAAUCACUGCAACUGACAUGGCAACAUUAUUCGUCUUGGCUAAUAAGGCUGUGAAGCGAUGCUCUUCCGGCAAGGUGAGGAAUUUUCCUGAGUCAGAGUCUGCAGGCGAGGAAGUGGCGGCUUGUACGGCGCCGAUGCCCAAGUUGGAUGACAUGGAGGAGUUUUCGCAGCCGGAAUACGUAUACAGAUUGUCAGUUUCAAGAUCAAAGAAGCCCUUGUUGGAGACUAUAGAAGAAGAGACUACUUAUGCAAGAUGAUUGACACAAUAUAUGUGUCAUGGUCUUUUGUGGUUCGGGCAAGGGAGAUUGUACAAUUAGAUUAUUAGUAAUUGAGUACCUAGGAUUAUCCAAAUAUAAUUGUAUGUAUAAUGUAUGAUUUAUGCAAAUAUAGGAAUUUAAUUUGUAUAUGGAUAUUAAUUUUUUUUUAUAAAAAAACUCACUUCUCAAUAUUCUUUCUUUCUUUUUUUUUUUUUCCAGCAAAAUAAUAAUAAUAAUCAGAUCAAGAUCAUAUACGUACAUAAUGUGAAUUCAUCUUCUUGCUCAAAUCCAAAUUUUGCAGUAACCCAAACCAGCCCAUAUUUUGAGAUCGAAAAUAUUUUGAUUGAGGAUUCUAAGCUCACCCCAAACUUAUUCUGAAUCUGAUCCAACUCGUGACCUUAUGAUUUGGGUUUCGUUAGGUUGGGUUUGGUUUGGAUAGCGGGUUUUGAGUUCCCACCUUCCACAACAAGCUUUCUAGAAAUAGCUUUGGCGCCAUUAACUCCUCUUUCCCCUCAAACUGGAAAAAAAAAAAAAAAUCCAAAAAUCCACCAAUCUCCAUUUUUCAUCUCCACUCUCAAUACCCACUUAUAAAAUGCUUCCUUUCAGAUUCUAAUAAAUUCCCUCAUUAUACUUCAAUGGACUCUCAUCCCAGUGACAAAAACUUAACCCUAGACUCAACCCACCUCUUCCUCUCCACCCAAUCUUCCCCUCCCGAUUCCCUCAUUUUCGCUCCAAUUCCCCGCACUUUACCUCCUUCCAAACACAUUCCCAGCACCCGCUUCCUCAUCGACGCCUUUCGCUACGCCGCCGAUUUCUCCGUCUCUUACUUUCUCUCCCACUUCCACUCCGAUCACUACACCGGCCUUUCCCCUUCUUGGUCCAAAGGUAUCAUUUUUUGCUCCGAAAUCACUUCCCGCCUUCUUUCUCAGAUACUCAACAUAAACCCCAAGUUUAUCUACCCACUCCCAAUUAAGAUACCUGUUUUAAUUGAUGGGUGUGAAGUUGUUCUUGUUGGUGCCAAUCAUUGCCCUGGUGCUGUCCAGUUCUUGUUCAAGGUUCCGGGCAGAAAUGGCGGUUUCGAGAGGUAUGUUCACACGGGUGAUUUUCGGUUUUGUAAAACUAUGUUGUUACAGCCUGUGAUGAAUGAGUUCGCGGGUUGUGAUGCUGUCUUUUUAGACACCACUUAUUGUAAUCCGAAGUUUUUGUUUCCUUUGCAAGAAGAGAGUGUUGAGUAUGUGGUUAAUGUGGUUAAUAGGGUUGGAGGCGAGCUUAAUGAGGGUUUGCAGAAGAGGGUUCUGUUUCUUGUUGCGACAUACGUUAUUGGGAAAGAAAAGAUUUUGAUCGAAAUUUUUAAGAAAUGUGGUAGAAAAGUGUGUGUGGAUUCAAGAAAAAUGGAGGUUUUGCGGGUUUUGGGGUAUGGGGAUAGUGGUGUUUUUACAGAGGAUGAGAGUGAGACUGAUGUGCAUGUUGUUGGAUGGAAUGUGUUGGGGGAGACUUGGCCAUACUUUCGGCCGAAUUUUGUGAGAAUGAAGGAAAUUAUGGUCGAAAGAGGAUAUGAUAAGGUUGUUGGUUUUGUGCCGACGGGGUGGACUUAUGAGGUGAAGCGUAACAAGUUCGCAGUGAGGUCCAAGGACGCAUUUGAAAUUCAUCUUGUCCCAUAUAGUGAGCAUUCAAAUUAUGAUGAGCUUAGGGAGUAUGUGAAGUUUUUGAAACCCAAGCAAGUUAUACCUACGGUGGGCAUGGAUAUUGAGAAGCUUGAUAGCAAGCAUGCUAAUAAAAUGAGAAAGUAUUUUGCUGGGUUGGUUGAUGAAAUGGCUAGCAAGAAAGAAUUUUUAAUGGGUUUUCAUCGAGGGACUAGCGAAAUUGAUGAAAACGUUGAAGAGGGUGCUGGUUCAGGCUCUAAUGAGGGGCUGAGCAAAGAGGGGGAAGUAAAGUUGAAAAAAACUAAAGCCACUGAAGACAACAGUUCAUCUAUUCUUUUAGAUUCAUCAUCUCGUUUGGAAGAAUUUGGCUCAAAAGAUGUAACUGCUCUAGAUGAUGAGGAAACAGAGAAAAUGGUACAAGAAAUUCGUAACUGUUUGCCUACAUGGGUUACUCAAAACCAAAUAUUGGAUUUGAUUAGCAGCUCAGGAAGGAACAUUGUUGACGCUGUGUCUAAUUUCUAUGAACAUGAAACUCAAUUGUAUGAGCAAGUCUCUGCAUGUACGACUUUUAUAUCUACAUCCCAGACCAGCUCACUUGAUGUUUCUGCAUCCACUGCAAAACUAAAUUCCGAUAAGACCAUUUCCCAAGGAAGUGUGAAAAUUCCUUUAAGUCAGGAAUACAAGUUACCAACCAUAAAGCAUUCAAUAAAGAGCACCCUUUCUCCAAGCAAAAGGAAGAAAACUAUUACCAAUAACCCUAAGAAAAAAGGGAAAGUCCCAUCAAAAAUGGAAUCUAGUGGGGCAAAGCAGCCUACAAUUACAAGUUUCUUCAAUAAAUUGUUGCCUAACAUGUCUCAAGGGGAUGUGGUUGAAUCCAAGUCAGAGGAAUGCCCUAAAGAUGAAAAUCCUUUGCAAAGUAAUGCUAUCAAAACAUAUGGAGAGGAGAUAGAUCAGUUCUUGAAGAUAAUCAAUGGCAAUGAAUCAUUAAAAGGCUAUGCUGCCACCCUCUUAGAGAAGACAAAAGGAAAUGUUAGUAUGGCUCUAGAUCUAUAUUAUGAUAAUCAAGAGGGUGAUCAUGGUAAGACUGUAAAUAGGUUAGAAUUCUCUAAAAGUUCAGUUCAGUUCGACAAUUGUAAUAAGGAUUGUUCUUCUGCAUUGGAGAAAAUCGUUUCUGAAGAAUUGCAACAUAUAACUGAUAUGUCUGUUCAGAGACCAUCAAAAGAACUAAUGGAUCCAACUCUUGUGUCAUUACCACCUGAAAAGUACGAUCCAAUAGAGCAUGGUUUGUGUACCUUUUUCCCAAUUUUACUUUACUGAACUACUUAGUAUCAGUUUUUAAUUUUAAGAUUUCUCAAAUAAUGGAAAUCUCGCAUGACACUAAGAUCCAUACAGCAUGCUGGAGUAGUGGACAGCCUGCUCCAUAUAUCCACCUUGCACGAACUUUUGACCUGGUUGAGGCUGAAAGAGGCAAGAUAAAAGCUAUGUCCAUGUUGGGCAAUAUGUUUAGAAGGUAUAUGGUCAUACAUUCCUUAUCGUUUUCCCUUCCUCUUCAACUUGCCUUUAAACUGUGAAUGAGCAUUUUUGUUGUUUAAGUAGCUGAUUGGGCUAUAUCACCUACUUGCAAUGUUUUUUUUUAAUCACAGUUUGCUGGCCCUGUCUCCCGACGAUGUGCUACCUGCUGUGUAUUUGUGUACCAAUAAGAUUGCCUCUAACCAUGAAAACAUAGUUAGUAAAUUUCUCUCUCAUCUUUGUGAUUGCGCUGUAAUUUUUGUAUGGUUUUUCCACUGGUGUUGUUCUUUUUGUUUUUGUUAAUGCACUUCUAUCCACUGUGGAAAACAUUGUGGCUUGUUAGUUGUUAAUAAGUUUCAGUUAACUCUUGGCAUUAGUAUUGUUUUUGGUAGAAAUUCUGGAUUCAAAAUUUUUCUCUGCUGGGCUAUAUAUUUAGAAAAUGGGCGUCUGUGAUGUUAUGAUACAAUGAUGAAUCUCACUUGUACUAAGGUUAUGGUGAUCUGUACUCGGAUUAUUUAUGGUUAAACAAUAUGGAAUAUUUUGAGGCGCACAUUUUUUCCCCUGUUGUUUUCAUAGUUGUGUAUUUCUGCUGCAAAUAUAAUCUGACAUGAUUUUUUCUUCAAAUUAUGAUUACACAUUCAGCAUUUUCUAGGUGGUUCUUGUUUUAACUAUAGAUUAUAGUUUGUAAUAUUAUUGCAAAAAUGAUGCAGGAACUGAACAUUGGUGGAAGUUUGGUCACAUCAGCAAUAGAAGAGGCAUGUGGAACUAAUCGGUCUAAAAUUAGGGAUAUGUACAAUAGGUUAGGUGACCUUGGUAGGUACUGAUGAUGGUUUUAUAAUUUUUUAUCUUUUACCCAUUUUUUUAAAAAAAAAAUCCCUAAGUUUAUAAAUUUAGCUGCUAAGUAGAAAAUUAAUAUGAUCACAGGUGACGUUGCUCAAGAAUGCCGACAAACACAGGCAUUGCUUGCUCCUCCUCCUCCACUUCUUAUCAAAGAUGUAUAUUCUAUGCUUUGCAAAAUAAGGUGUGAAUUGUCCAAUCUGAUCUUUCUAGGUAGUUGGUGGAAACAUUGGUGCCUUGACUGUAUUUUUGUUGUUUUUGCCAAAGCUGCCUGAAAUAUAAAAAAGUCUCUGUAAAUUGAUGACGGUCUUUAUCAGUUUAGGAAUACUUUUAAUGGAGUCGAAUUGCACUUCUUCUUCUUCUUCCUUUUUUCUUUUUUUAUAAAAACAAAGAUUAAAAUGUAAAAAUGUAGUUAGUGAGAAUUUGUUAGUCUAGGGUUCCUUAUAUUGUCUGAGUUUAGGUGUUACAAAUAUGACGUACAAUAUAUCACAGCUUUUUUGUCAACAAUGCACAUUUUUUUUUUCAAUGCAGAUUGCUCCUUUUUUCUUUCUUUCUUUUUGUUUUUUAAUCUUAUGAUCCUUAUAAAGUGUUCAUCAGUGUACAAAUAGGUAGUGGAAGUACUGCUAGGAAGAAAAGCCUUAUUGUGAACCUCAUGUGUUCUUGUAGAGAGAAGGAGAUGAAGUUUCUGGUUAGAACUCUGGUAAGAUGCUGCAUAGCCUUUUAAAUUUAUAUACCUUUGUUGCUGAAUUCAGGUUCUUUUGCUAUUUAAGUGGCGUUGUGGAUAAAUCUGAGAUUUAUGGUGUGCUUUAGAGUUUUCAGCUAUUUGUAAAAGGGAUGGUUUUUGAAAAAUCUUUUCAUAUAGGUCAGGAAUUUACGAAUUGGAGCAAUGAUGAGAACUAUAUUGCCUGCAUUAGCUCAAGCUGUUGUUAUGAAUUCUUCUCUUGAGUUUUCCCAUGAAGGAAAAAUGGAAAAUUUGAAGGAGAAACUUCAGGUUGGAUUUCUGUCAAGAAUCAUAUGCUGAUUCUUUUGUUAUGUUGAAUCAUAUCAUAAGUUUUAGUUGUAAUUUUGAUCAAUUUUUGAAAGGGUGUUUUCUGUAACAAUUUGUUAUAUAAUAAAAGCUUUAUCCUGAACUUUUGUAUACAUUUAUGUGGGCUUACUUAUCACUUAGGUUUUUUUCUUUGGUUAUUUAUUUAAUUUGACAAAUAAACUUUCCGUUAUUUGUUAGAGUCUUUCUGCAGCGGCAGUUGAAGCUUAUAAUAUUCUUCCCAGUUUGGUAAGUUUAGUGUUCUUGGUGCUGAAGUUGUUCUUACAUCUUCCCUUUAUGCUUUAGAGGGAAGCUUUUUCAAUACUUAAUCAAACUUCUGAGGAAGAAUUAUUUGCCAUCUAUUCAUACUAUCUAAUGUAAUGUAUCCCAAUGUAACAGGAUUUGCUCAUCCCUUCUCUCAUGAAUAAAGGCAUUGGAUUUUCAUCAUCAACUUUGUCCAUGGUUCCAGGAGUACCUAUCAAGCCCAUGCUUGCAAAGUACAGAUUUUUUGUGAUUUUUGGUCAUAUAUUAUAUGUUUGGAGCUGCUAUGGAUUUACUAAUGCUUUAGCAUAUUUGUUGUUUUCUAUGUUAGAAUUACCAAUGGAGUUCCACAAGUACUAAAGCUCUUCCAAAAUAAAGCAUUUACUUGUGAAUACAAGUAAGUCCCUGUUUUAAUAGCUUCUCUCUUUUUAAGUUGUGCUUUAUACUCUCCGUUCGUUUAUUGAUACUCCCACAGACUUUUGGGUCUAUUCAGCUAAUGUUAGGCUGAAUUUUCAAUCUCCCAUACAUUUAUAUCGAUUAUAAUUUUUACUAUCAUUUUCUUUGUAUACAUGAACUUUUUACUCUCUCUUUUUUUUUUUUGGUUUUUUUUUGGGGGGGGGNNNNNNNNNNNNNNNNNNNNNNNNNNNNNNNNNNNNNNNNNNNNNNNNNNNNNNNNNNNNNNNNNNNNNNNNNNNNNNNNNNNNNNNNNNNNNNNNNNNNNNNNNNNNUUUAUAUGGAAUUGUUAAACUUGUGAACUUGAUAUAUGAAGUAUUGCUUAUUUCAUUGGCUCUUUUAUAAUUGAGAAAAUUGAGCAUGGGAGUUUGUUAUUACAUGCCUUCUUACUAUUUGUGUUUAUUCACUCAAAAUGAGUUUUGUAAGAAAAAUUGAAUGUAUCAUCACUUAUCUACUGGGUGGAUAUAUCACACCUCAUUUCCUUGUCUAUGUUAAGUUACUGUAGAUUAUUCAAAUGAUUGAUAUAUUUGUGUAAUUUCAGAUAUGAUGGUCAACGUGCCCAAAUUCACAAAUUAGUGGAUGGCACUGUGCGCAUCUUUUCACGUAAUGGGGAUGAAACAACAUCAAGAUUUCCUGAUUUAAUUAGUAUAAUUAAUGAAUUUUGUAAGCCUGCUGCGGGGACUUUCAUACUGGAUGCCGAGGUCCAAUUUCCUUGCAAUGAUGCUUGUUGAUCUUUUUCAGGAUCAGAUUUGUUUGAUUUAGGAUUCUGUUAUCUAUAAUUAAAAGGCACCUUUUGUAUGCAGGUAGUUGCAAUUGAUAGGAAGAAUGGCUGCAAAAUCAUGUCUUUCCAAGAACUAUCGUCAAGAGAGAGAGGAGGAAAAGAUUCCGUGAUCACAAUUAAGAGUGUAAAGGUUUGCUUAGUUAUUAUGUGAUUAAUAAUACUAGUAGAAGCUUUGACAAAAAUUGAACAGAUCUAUGCUUAGCUUGUGCUACAGUAAUGGGUUCUGAUUGUCUUCUGUUGCUGGUGCUGAUUGUAGUGAAUAAGCUGGUUUCUGCUCAUAUGGUGGACCUUUUUGGCUAAUAUUAUUCAAGCUUGAAUCAGUGGCAAUAUCAAUAAUUCCGUGAUUUUUUUUUCGAUUUUUCUUUUAAUAAAAGACAAGACUUGAAUUUAGGUUACUAAUAUUAGGGGUUUACAGAAAAUGAAAAAGCUUUCUGCAAAAUCUAGGAUCAGCCUAUAAAGGGAUGCGUAUUUAAAUUAGGUGGUGGAAUCUAUAUGAUGGGUAUUUCAAUUUGCAGUGGUGUUGAUGGUUUCCCUUUCCAUUUUCAGUUUAUUCAUCCUCUGCAUCUGCACAAUUGUCUACUUUGGAUUUGAUAUCAAUGUCAUUUAUACUUUGAAAUUGAAUGUAUGGCUAUUUAAAUGUGCUGCAAUUUUAUGAUUCUUCUUUUUCAUUUUGGAUUUUUUUAACCUGUGCAGGUCGAUAUUUGUGUAUUUGUCUUUGAUAUCAUGUUUGCCAAUGGAGAGCAGUAACUAUCUCGAACCUUUUUUCAGUUUCCUUGGAACCACUGGUUUUUUACUGCUGAUAGACACAGAUGCACACAAACUUACAAGGAGAAACAAAUGCAUUGUUUAUUUGACACUAUAACCUAUAAAUGCAUUGUUUAUUUGACACUAUAACCUAUCUAAAAUCUUUGACACUGGAUUUGAGAAUGUUUGUUACUAUUGUAGUUAGUUUUUAAUGUCUUCAUGAGGAACUCCUCAUAUGUUCUUGGUAGUAAGAUGUUUGAUCAUGCAAUCAUUACAACUUCAAAAUUACAUGAAAAGAAUGUACUUCCAUGGAAGUUAUAAGUAAAUGUUUGAACUCCAUUGUGAUGGGGUCAGCCAGCUGCACGUCCAUGUGAUGGGGUCAGCCAGCUGCACGUCCAUUUUUCUUGUACUGGUGAAUGCGUGUCUUUUUAGCUCACAAAAUCCUACUGUCUAAAGAGAAUUCAAGAUCAGUUUUUUGUCUAAAAGAUUCAACCUUACUCUGGAUAUAAUUUCCACUCUUAAUCUGGCACCAGUUAUGUCAAUCAUUAUAAUUCUAGAGUCAUUAUUCCUUAAUUAGUUUCUAAGCUCUUUGAAUAGCAUUUACUGCAAGGCUUUUGAGAAUCAAUCUCAUGCUGUACACAUUUAUUUUGGCUGUGUUUUUAUUAUUUUUAUGCAAUUGGUUGCUUAUUUGUAAGUACUAGAAGGCUGCUUAUAAAAUUUUCUUUUUACAGGCUGUUGGGUUAUACCCUCCGUCAGAGACGAAAAUGUAUGUGUAUCUUGUUUCUUUUCUAUUCUCGUACAAGACAGUGACUGCUUUUUCCUGUAAGGCCGUACAGCAGCCCCCCUCCUCCUUUUUUUUUGCAUCCAAAAUGCAGACUUGAAAGAUUUGUUCUAUGAUGAGAAAAUGGGGUACUUUCAGUAUGCAAAGGAAAUGACUGUAAGUGCUUUUGUCUUACCUUUGACCUCAUCCAUAUUUGUGUUAUUAGUGUUUGAUACAGUAAUCUGAUUUACAGGUGGAAGGUGAUGAUAAUUGUUUGACGAGUGAUGUCUCUCUAAGCAAGAUAAAUAAUUUUCUUGAAGAGGCACUCCACUCCUCAUGUGAAGGGAUUAUCGUUAAAUCGUUAGAUGUUGAUGCUGGAUAUUCUCCAUCAAAGCGUAGUGACUCAUGGUUAAAGGUUUUAUGUGAUAUGUAUCUGCAUAUUUGGUUCUUUUACUAGUUGGGGAUACUAAAACCUAAAUACCCCCCACCCUCCCAAAAAAAAAAAAAAAGAGCACCGAUUGAGACUGAUAUUGUCUUUGCAGGUGAAGCGAGAUUAUGUGGAAGGAUUAAAUGACUCGCUUGAUCUAGUCCCUAUUGGUGCUUGGCAUGGCAAUGGGAGGAAAGCUGGAUGGUAAAUGUCUCAUUUUUUCUCCCUUUUCUUACCGAGCCACUGGCUGGUUAAUUGAUCACUUUUUGUCUCCCAUGUCCACAAAAUUUGAAUUUGGUUGGGCUGUAGGUAUCUAUUAUAGGGCUGUUCAAAAUAGUUUGGUGAGUAGAGAAUGCAUGUUAUGUCAUCUAUCUGUAUGAAGACAAAGCUAUAUGAAUCUUUCAUAUGUUGAUGCUAACUAUUCUUCAAUUCAUACUGCAGGUACAGUCCAUUCCUCAUGGCAUGUUACAAUCCCGAGACUGAGGAAUAUCAAAGCGUAUGCCGUGUCAUGUCUGGGUUCUCAGAUUCCUUUUACAUAGAGGUAAGAUUUGGAUGUUAGUUGUGCACAUGAUAGAAAGUGCUUACCCUUGUCAAAAAGGUCAUGGCGACUCCUCUAAGACUUGAUUAGUCUGCUUGAAAGUAAUUAUUGGUUUCUUAGAUAGAGUUUGUCUUUUCCGUAUCUUGUCAAAUAGAGAAGCAAAGGGGUCCUGACAAUUUGCACAAAUUUGUCUUCUCUUAGAACAAAGUUAAUUGGUGAUUCAUGCAGGAUUCAAAAUUGCUAGCGUGAAUUUCAAAUCUCUCCAUUACCGAGUACCUUAAAAAUUGCCUCGCCAGAGACCAGUCCUAGUGAUGAACUGAAGAUGUCCCCCUUAGUCGUCAAUAGAUAACUAUAUCUGGGAAGAUUUUCACGGUGCAUGUUGUUACCUAAGGUUAAUUCUUCUGCAGUAGUUAGAAGGAAGCAAACAAAGUUUUCUUUUCUGGGUUGCUGACCUGGAGAAUUUACACAUUUAUUCUUCAACCCUGAAAAUUAACACCAACAUUUUGAUUUGGUGAUGUAAGCCUCACUUUAGAUCUUGUUUGUUGGAAUCUUCUUCUGUAGCUUGCUUUCCCAAAAAGAACCAGAGCUCUAGUUAUGAUUAUGAAGGCUUAUUUAAGUUCUUUUAGCGAAUUUUUAAUGGGUUUGACAUGUAUGUCUGGCAAUUAUGGAAGUGGUGUAGUAGUGCAUCUUGUUAAUUUAUAAUAGCUGCCGUUUCCACACUGACUUUCAGAUGAAGGAAUUCUUUUCUGGGGAUAAGAUCUUAUUGAAAAAGCCGUCUUACUAUCGAACAGCUGAGGUUCCAGAUAUGUGGUUUUCUCCAGAAGUUGUUUGGGAAAUAAGAGGUGCAGACUUUACAAUAUCACCGGUUCACCAGGCUGCUAUAGGUUUGGUUCAUCCGAGCCGUGGCAUCUCAAUCAGAUUUCCUAGGUUUAUACGCCUUGUAUCUGACAGAAAUCCAGAUGAAUGUAGCACUGCUGCAGAUAUAGCUGAAAUGUUUCACUCUCAAACCCGGAAGAUGGACGUGACAGCCAAAGAUUGAAUAUUAUUAGAAGUUGGGUUGUCCCACAAACAUUUCCUUUUGCACAAGUUCUCCGCCCCUCUUCUUUUUCUCUCUUUUCUGUACAUGAUUUGCUGGGUUGGUUGGUUAAUCUCUUUUUGUGCCCUUGUAUAUUAGAAUCUGAUGGAAUGAGCGGCCAAUCUAUUAAAUUAUAAAAUUAUAAACCCCUAAUGGGUAGUACAACUUCAGUGCAUUGCGUGGGGCUUUGUUUGAUGUCCGUAACUUAAAAAUUUAGCAUGCUAAAAUAUCUAAUAAACACUAAAUGAUUUGAUUUAAAAAUUAAAUUUAAUAUUGAUUUAAUUGAUUUGAUUUAUUAUAAUAUUUUUAUUAUUUUUAAUAUAUAUAUAUGAAUGAUAGACAAUGAAUAUUAAUUUAAUUCCUCGUUUGCCUAAAAUAAAAUGAGGACGCUUUCAUUUGGUAGGAAAUUCAACCCUCAAACCAAACAUGCCCUUGGGAACCUUUCUGAUUUCAGACCUAAAUUAGAAGUUGAUUGAAUUUUAAACCCUUUACAAGUCUUCCCCACUCGUAGAAACCGUUUGUUCAAUCUCCCGCCAAAUCUCUACACAAAAAUCUGCUUUCAAAAGAAAAAAAAAAAAAAAAAAACCAAAACUUUUUUUCAUCUGUUGUCUGCUUUACGUUGCAACUUUCACCUCUUUAAUUUAGGGUUCUAAUUUCAAAAUCCCAUUACCCCAAAAUAUUUUUUUUUCUAAAAAAGAAACCUGCUAGCCGUAACUAAAUCUUUGUCUCUUUGCUUCCGUUUUAGGGUUCGAUGAAGGUUCUGGAAUCUAGGAAUUGGUUGACUUUUAUAUGAAAUUUUAAUGAUAUUCGAGACAAUGAGUACUGUGAACAUUGCGAAUGUGACCGUUUUGGAUAAUCCGGCGCCGUUUUUGUCUCCGUUUCAAUUUGAGAUCUCGUACGAGUGCGUUACUCCUCUCAAAGACGGUAAUCAAUUUUCACUCUCCGUUUUGUUUUCGGUUGAUUUAGGGUUUGCAUAUCAAUUUAUUUAAAAAAGAAAAAUUAAACUUUUACAAGCGGGAGAAAGUGACUGUACAAGCAGAUAAGUAGCUUUAUUAGUCUUCUUCAAAUGAUCUUUGUUCUGUUUGCCGUAAAUGUAUUAUUUCUUAAAUCAAUUGCACGACAUUUAUUGUGUAAUCAUAAUGCAGAUUUGGAGUGGAAACUUAUUUAUGUGGGUUCUGCUGAGGAUGAGACUUACGAUCAAUUAUUGGAAAGUGUACUCGUUGGGCCUGUCAAAAUUGGAAAUUAUCGCUUUGUGUUACAGGCAAUUUUAAUUGACUUAUUUUUAAACCAGAAAAAUAAAAUUAUAAACCAGGAUUGUUGAUUUUCUGUGGACUAAGACCUCAUCUGUACUCUUUCUUGUGGUGCAUGCUUUUGCAGGCUGACCCACCACACCGAUCAAAGAUUCGGGAAGAAGACAUUAUUGGUGUGACAGUGCUUCUGUUGACUUGCUCUUACCUUGGUCAGGAGUUUGUUCGAGUGGGCUACUAUGUAAACAAUGAUUAUGGUGAUGAGCAGCUGAGAGAGGAACCUCCCCAAAAAGUUUUGAUUGAUACGGUCCAAAGGAACAUUUUGUCUGAUAAACCUAGGGUCACAAAGUUCCCCAUCAAUUUUCAUCCUGAGCACGCCGAAAGUAGUGAAGAACCCCCUCCUCCUCAUCAUCCUGCUGAAGUUGAUCCACACGAAGAUGACUCAUCAUCUCCACCUGAUCAUCUUUUGGACAAUCAAGAACCUUAACUUAGAGACUGCGGGGACUACCUGCUUCCACACCACCUGAUUUAUCAUUCAUGUCCCAAUGGCACGGUAGAUAUCUCAGCAAUAGAUUAACUUUUUCAUCUUUCCAAGAAUUAGCUGGAGCUUUUGGAGGAACUGAUGCCUGAUAGAUAGUCAAUCUGGGUGACAUAUUGGUGUCAAAACGCUGUCGAAAUAGAAUUAGUGGAUUAGUCUAUAUUACAUUUCAGGCUGUACCAAUCUCAAAGGCACAAUCUGUCUCAUACUUUACCUUGCCAAUGCUAAUUUUUUAUGUUAUUUAUUUAUCCUGAUUCUUUCUUCAUGAAUUAGGUAUAGAGAUUAGUAACUUGACAGAAGUCUGUAAUGCCUCUUCAGUGCCACCAAUUAUAUAGAAUGGUACACAAACUCUUGCUGAUCAUGAAAAAAAUCUACUGAAUUCUGGAUCAAGAAUGCGAGCUACUGGAAGCACAAUACAACCCUAUAUCCAAAAACUGAAAGAAGAAUUGCAAAAUAAAUUAUCUCGGCAAUCACUUCCAACUUCCAACAUCAAGGAUGAGAUGAGUUUGGUAGCUCUGCAAAAACUACCAACAGAAACUAUUGGGGAAUUACUACACUUCAUUCCUCGGUCCCAAUUUAUCCACUCUUCACUUCUCACUUUUAUGUCUUUUCUUGGCAGGGCCCUGGGUCAAUUGCUUUGCAUUUUUCUUGAUCGAGUCUUCAUGCACUUUCUGUAAUAGGUGACAAGGAAUUAUAAUUAAUUAAUUACUGUAUAUGAAAACCCAUGAACAUGCAAUUAUAAUGGCAACGUUCAAAUUACCUCUUUCCUUGACAAGUUCCUCUUCCCCUGCCGUCUUUUGUUCUUCGAUUUGGGUUUGUCCUGGUACACAGUUGGAGGAGUUAGCAUAAAUACAAAAAUAAUAUAAAUUCAGUAGCUUGGGAGUCCCAGAUCCCAAACAGAAGUAAGUACUUAUAAUACAAAAAUAAACCUGUGAAAGAGCUAUAAUUCUAGCAUUCAUCUCUGCAGCUGUCUCCUGGUUCUCAAUUUCACCAUCAUCGUUGAGUAUGGCCUUCAACCUGUUUUCCUUCAGUAAUUUCUCAGACCGAACAUGUCUCUACAACAAUAAAGACAUUUCGUUAGGGGGUCAAGUACCAGCACGGUUCUCGUCCUCAUAUAAAUCAAUUUGAAGGUAAUAGCAUAAACAAUGGUAGGAUGGGGAAUCAAUGUAGGUUCACUACUCAUUGGUUUUUUUUUUUUUUUCCUUCUGCUAUAAAAACCGUUGAAGAACACUCCAGUUACAAGCCAAGCAAGGAUUUAUUUACCAGAACAAGUAUACUGGUUAAAGCUCCAAAUAGAUUACGGGUGCAUUUAGGAUUGAGGUGCUGUACCUUUUAAGCUACAGCUGCUGUGGCAAAAAAACUGUAACUAUGAAACAAAAAUUUGUAAUAUAUAGUAAAUGUAAAUUUUAACUAAUAAUGUUAACAUAAUUAUUAAAGAUAUAGUAGAUUUUCCAUUAUAUAAGUGAAAAAUCAUAUCAACAUAGCUUCCAAGUUACAGCAGCUAGUGUUUAUCAAACACUUUAGUGUUGUAACUUUUAAGCUACAACUGUCCAACCUCAAUCCCAAACGCACCCUAUAUUGACUGACCAAAUUCCAAGUGCCAUAAGACAAAUUUCAGAACAUAUAAAGGGAGAGAAAAAUCAGGUUAUGUUAAACAAACUACAACAUACAUCCUUGUGUAUAUAAAUAAAAAGGCAGUAGAGACCACAUCAUCCCUCAGUCUUAGCAAAUCUAACUAUAUUACCGUGGAUAAAGUUAAUAAAAUAAUCCAAUAAACCAAACUAAGCAGAUUAUCCUUAAAAAAAAUAAGAAAAUAAAAAAACUAAUGAAACUAAAAAUCUCAAACAUCUGCUAGGAGAGAGUAUAUUAUCCUUUACUAUAAAACAAUAAAUAACAAAAGCAGCAUGCAGGAUCCUUUUUCUCUCAUGCUCUCAACAUGCCAUGCUUUACCUUGGAAUUAAGAUGAGCCCUAAUGGUUUCCUCAUUCAAACAGAGGAUUCUUGGGCAUAUUCUGCAUCUGAAAAUCGACUUGAUUUGUAGUACACAAUCUGGAAAAUCAGCUGGCAUGGAUGCCUUUUCUGCUGUGGUUUCAGACUCUAUCUCAUUAGCACCACAUUUACCACGAAGCUGAUUACUUACAAAGAGUUGUCUGUCAUUUCCAAUUUCAUCAUCAUCUUCAUUUAUGAGACCUGCCUCAUCACAAUAAUAUCAAACAUCUAAGAAACAGAAACAACAAAAAACCCCAUUUCUGAGAAGGCAAUUGAAAGAAGAUUGAAGUAUUAUUCAUUCUUAAAAAAAGAAAACAUCUCAGACUAACACACUGGACAAGAAAUACAGGAAAACAAAUUUACAUGGUGCAAAAAUAUGUUAGACAUGGACUAAUAGGAACAACAACUAUUCCUAGAAGACUAAACAAAACCGUGUUGAAAAGAAAGGAAAGAGUGUCAAAUCAAAGGGAAAAAAUUCAAACCUUUAUUUUGCCACAAGUUAAAGCCAUUACUAGCAAAUUAAUAAAGGAUUUGAACAAGAUUGCACAAGACUUAUACUCCUAAUGUUAGCAUCUCCAUAUAAAUCUUGUUACCAUCAAACUUAAAAUAUAACAAGAAACUUUCUGCGUCAUCCUACUAGAAUUAUUUUAAUAUCAAUCGGUUGAGUCAAUUUGUAUGAACCCAGAAAAUACCUAAAAUUGACACAAUUAUCCUCCAAAAUACACUGAUCUAAGCAAUUAGAUAAACUGCCUCUCAGUAUUAUAAACAGUAAAUAGAACAUCCUACCUGGUGAGGCAACAUUCAUCUCUUCUGCUGAGCUAUCCUCACUCUCAUAUCCUGUAAUGUCCAAAUCAAAAUGGAAAAGAAAAGACAAAACCAGUGAGCUUCUCAAAGAAUUCCAAUGUAAUUAACACAACAAAAAAAUUCUCUGAUUUUCUAUCCCUCGGAGCCAAAAGUCCAGAAAGUUAAAACAGAAUAAAAAGCAAUAAUGACAUGAUUUACUCUACAGCAGUUGACUUGCAAAUGACACAGGAGAGAACACUUUGAUAACAAAGGCAUUAACCAAAAUAACAUGUUGCAAAAUCCAUAACGAAGGCAAAAUAAGAGCAUAACCCAAAGCUGGAAACACCCUCAAAUAAUACUUUUAGAGAAAGAGUAAAGAACAACGAACAGACCAGAAGAAUUCAAGCAAGCUUGACCAUUUUCUUUAACUUGUUCAACUGCCUCGUCUUCAGAUUCUUCUGAGGCUUGUGGUUCUAGUUCUGAGUCCGAAUCAGACGAAGACGAAUCCGCAGCAUCAUCUCUAUCACCAUGUUCUGCUCUGUAGAAUCGUCUCUUUAUCAUGUCUGGUCUUCUAACAAGCUACAAAGAUAGAAUUUAUAAGUAAUUAAGUUCACUUUAUUUUAAGGCCAAAUAAGUUUUAAGUAAAAUUUUCAUUAACACAAUUUCAAUCCCAGCCACAGUAUUGUUCGUCUUCAAUCAUAUAAUACAGUUACAGAGCUUAAGUCACGAAUAGCUCAUACAAAAGAACAGAUAAUAAUAAUAAUAAUAAUAAUAAUAACAAAAGCGAAAGCUUAAAUUUAAAUAAAUAAAUAAAUAACGAAGAUAGAUAAAUUGAUGUUGCAAUAAUGCAUAAUAUUUAUAUAAAAAAAAUUUGAAUUCGUGGAGAAAUAAAAAGCUUACCAAAGCAAAGAAGCGAAGGCGAAGGCGCAGCCGCAGUAAGCUGAGUGGAGAGCAAGAAGAAGAGAGGUUUUGGGUUUUACUGUUGCUAUUGCCAGCCGCCCACCAAAGGAGAACGACAAAAAUAGCUUUGGGUUAGUCUUUGGGCCAUGGGCUAUAAAUGUGAUUUGGGCCCAUCUUUAAACAAGCCCAACUUGAUUAGGGGAUGAUCUUGAAAAAUCGCAACAAAACUGUGCGUUUCUACCUCUAAUAAUUGUGAUUACAGGACGAAAUACAUUGUUUGAGACUUGAAAUCUGCAUAUAGUUAAGCCUUAGUUCUUGUUAAUUUUCUGCAGUCUUGGCCCGUGGCUAAAGAUUUGAACUUAGCCAGGAAUCCGCAACAAAUUGAUUCGAGUAAGUUUGAAACAAACUGGUGCGAUAUCAGAGUCCCUUGGUGGGAGCAAUCGUAAAUUCGAAGAAUAUAUCAAUCAUAACAUGAUCACCCUUGUCUACAGAAGCUCUAAUGCCAUUAUAAAAUCAUAAUGAAAGAUUGUGGAAGACGGAUUGUCAGUCCUACAGUAGAUUGUUUAAUAGAUUCAUUUUCUCCGCAAACAAAAAUUGGACCAAAAAGUUCAUGAUUAUUUGAUGUUCAAUAUAUGCAUUUCACCGAAUUUAAGACCAUUGUGUGAGAUUGAUCUCAGUCGAAUUACUCUUUGAUUCUGAAAGCAGAUAUUUUCUGCGGUUUCAAAGGUGAUCAAAGCAAGUUCAAGGCAUCUUUAAUUAAUGAUGUGACCGGAAUGCUAAGUUCGUAUGACGCUGCACAUCGUGGCAUUCGCGGGGAAAGAUAUUCUGGAUGAAGCCCUAGCUUUUACUGCUUCUCACCUGGAAUCAAUGGUUACAAAGUAGGCCCUCAGCUUUCUGACGAAAUACUUCAUGCAUUGAAUAGGCCAAUCCGCAGAGGCUUACCAAGGCUAGAGGCAAUGUAUCACAUCGAGCUCUAUUCACGGGAUGAUUCAAAGCAUAAAGCAUUACUAAAGUUUGCAAAACUAGAUUUAAGCAUCAUCACAGAGUGGUGGAAACAUUUAGACGUUGAAACAAAUCUGCCAUAUGCUAGAAACAGCGUUGUAGAAAGCUAUUUUGAGUGUAAUUGCAAUGGCAUCCAUUUUAGAUUAUAGCUACGACGCCUAUAGUAUACUUGAAGAAUUUGAGGUCUUUGCAAAUGCUAUCAAAAGGUGGGAUAUUAGCAAUAGAGAUGUACUUCUGAAGUGCAUCAAACUGAUUUAACAGGGAUUCUUGGAUGAUUUUGGUGAAGCUGAGGAGCAAAUUUCAAAGGAAGGACGGACAGAUUGCAUAUCAUAUGUAAUAGAAGUGGGGAAGAAACUAGUCCAAAAGUGGUGCAAUGAAGGUUAUUUUCCAAAAGUGGAGGAGUAUAUGCAAGUUUCACUUGUGACAACUUGCUAGCAUAUGCUGGGAACGGCGUCUUUUUCUUGGCAUGGGAGAGAUUGCUAACGAGGAAGCCUUUGAUUGGAUCUCCAAUUAGCCUAAAAUUGUUAAAGCAUCCGAAGUUAUGUGUAGACUUACGGAUAAUAUAGUGUCUCAUGAGUUUGAACAGAGUAGUCUCGGAUAUCUAAUAUUACUUCAUGCAACAUGGCAAUAAAGAGGUGAUUAAGGUUUCGUUUGGAAUUGAGGUACUGUAACUUUUAAGUUACAGCUGCUAUAGAAAAAAAAAACUGUAACUAUCAAAUAAAAAUUAAUAAUAUGUAGUAAAUAUAAAUUUUAAAUAAUAAUUUUGACAAAUUUAUUAAAGAUAUAAUAGAUUUUUCAUUAUACAAAUGAAAAAUUAUAUCAACAUAGCUUACAAGCUACAACAAUUAGUGUUUAUCAAACACUUUAGUACUGUAUCUUUUAAGCUACAGCUGUCCAAUAAAAAAAUAUCAAAUGGAUGAAAAGAUAUAAAUGAAGGAUUCCUAAACCAACAGAAGUGGCAGUGCCUUUCUUUAAGCGCAUUCUCAAUCUUGCACGAGUGACUGAUGUUACUUACAAGGAUGAUAAUGGCUACACCAAUUCUUAUGUGAUCAAAGACUAUAUCACCCACUGCUUGAGAAGCCUGUUCUCUUUUGAGUAGUUUUUGCGAUGCAGAUUACAUCCUAUAAAAACUAUUAAUGUUGUCUUUUGGAAUAAGCUCUGAAAUUUGUUCCUCAUAGAGCUUUUUUGCUGCUGUCAUCACAAUUAUCAAAUUCUUCCGUACAAUUAGUAAAGGCUUCCCUAUAUAUAUAUAUAUAUAAAUAAAAGAAAUCACCCAACAUCAGUGUUGUUUAACUGAAAAAGGAAAUUCAAGCAUCCAAAAUCAAAAUAUCCAAAAUGAAAAUAAGGUACCUAAUACUUGAAAGAAAGGGAUAUUCAAUACCCGUUUCAAAUCGUGCAUAAUCAUCUAGCAUGGCUCUCAUUGUCCCUCUGCAGCGCCGACUUUUUCCAUUAUUUUCUGCCCUUCUUCACCUUCGUCAUGAACCGAUCAAGACCGAAUGGAUCAGCUUCUUCAGCCUCCUUCUCAAACUUAACCGGUCCGUCCCUCGUACCAGACCUCUCAGAUGUACCAGACCUCUCAGAUGUACCUGCAAAUGCCUUGUCGGGUUUAAACCGAUCAGUCUUUCUAAUCUUCUCCAACUGCUCAUCCGCAUUUGCUCCAUAAAUUUCAGCAUCAACAUCUUUUUUGGGCCUGUAAAGGGUUGAAAGAGUCGGCUGUGCUGUAAACAAGCCUUUGUCAUAGACAUUAUACUGAUCAUCGUCAGUGGCAAAACCAGAGUCCAUUCCUUUCUUCUGAUUAAAAAGCCUUGCGUCAUAAGUAACCUCACCCGCUCUGCCUCCUCCACCAAUAGAGGCCAUCCCAAGGGCAACUUUCUCGCUAACAUCCCGAUCUCUGUCUCUAACAAUCUUACUAUUCUUCUUCCCCAUACCAACAUCCUUGGCCAGCAAAUUUCUCUCCCUCUUCCUCUCGCGACGUCUCUCCUCACGAAUUCUCUCCCUCUCCCUUUCCCUCUCCCUCAGCAAUCCCUGCUCGCUUUCCUUCAAUGUCUCCAUUGCCUUACGUGCUAAAUCCCGUAGCUGCUGCUCUUUCCUUUCCUUCUCCUUCGUGAGCAUCUCCAUCUGCACCUUGAAUCUUAUUUCAAUGGCCUCCCUCGCCUUCUGCUCUGCCAAAUAAAGAGCCUCCGACAAUUUAGCAAAUCCCUCAUUUAUCUGAACCUGCAGAAGCCCUCUUCCUUCGGCAGCGAGCCGCUUAUCCAGCGGAAUUGUAAACCGCUGUGGGUUCUUCCAAUUUGAUAUACAUGGUGGGAUUCUCCAAUCCAGCUGAUCUUUCACAGUCACCGGCCUAGGAGGGGAAUGCAUGACCGGUACUGGCAGAGAUCCCGAACCUUUCGGCACACGCUUGUGCUUCAACUUUGGUGGCUCAAGUGGGUCCAAAGGCAUCGCCACCACUCUUAAAAUCCUCCUUUUAGCCCCAGAAUAGAAGUCCACCGAUUUCUGUGAUGGUCUGUACAUAAUAAACUUGGACUCUAAUGACUGCGUAGGUGCAGCAUUCACAACACUGUUAACAAUCUUUUCAAGUUCAGCUUUUGUUACAGGAGUAGUCACGUCAAUCUCAUCUUCUUGAUCAGGAAAAGCGCCACCAUCAUCAUCAUCGAAAUCCUCAAGUUUCCGAGGAAGUAUCGCCAUGUUACAAAGAUUUCUUGCUUGUCAAUCAAGCUUGUGAUUAGUCCCAAGCAAUUUAAGGGUUCCUCAAGGGCUGAAAAAGAAUCUUGUGUUUUUUGUUAUCGUACACAACCAGCAAAUUUCUCUCCCAGUAGCGGCGCCUCCGUUUUGCGAUUUGCUAAUACUAUGCUAGCUUGCUAACUUGUAGCGGAGGUAAUCUCACUAAUGCUAAAACUAGAUAUCCUUAUGUAAAAACUUUAAACACAAAAAAAGUGCUCGUUUUGAAAAAUUAUUUGAGAUUACAACCUUAUUUAUUAGUUUUAAUUAUUGCUCAAAAAAGCUAUUACAAUAAUUGAAAUCCUAGUCAAAACUAAACUAAUAAAAAAAACUAAUUAAUAUGGCAACAAAUAAGACAAAUCCUAAACAAAUUAGAAAUACCAAUUGAAAAGAGGAAAAUUUCGGAUUAGAACAAAAAGAAAGGGCAAUAGUCUUUAUCCGUAUCCGUAGAAAAUAAGGAAAAUUUUUAUGUAGAUAAUAAAGACUUGCCCACGGUAGUGUCCUAAGAAAGUAAGGAAAACCAAUCUAUAUAAAGAGACUUGCCUGUGCUUGUCGAAAAGCACUAUACCUUCUUCUUUUAAUUAGCCUGCUAGCUAGCUCCUUAGUAAUCAGUCCCAAAUUUCCAGCUUUCUUAACUUCUUCUCCGUUACCUUAUUCAUCAUCUUCAUUAAAACAAGAAAACAGGAGAAAAAAAAUGCCUGCUGUUUCAGGAAUUGAUAAGGGUAAUGGCAGAGUGUACCCUGGAUACCUUACCCCAUUCGUCGCAAUCACAUGUAUCGUUGCUGCCAUGGGUGGCCUCAUCUUUGGUUACGAUAUUGGGAUUUCUGGUAAAUAUAUUUAUACUUACAUACAUAUUAACUAGCUAAUUAAGUACUAUAGUAUUGUGAAUUAUGAGUUAUGCUGACGGUUUAAUCAAAAUAUUAAUCUAGCUAACUGCAUAAAUAAUAUAACGCAGGUGGUGUGACCUCAAUGCCUUCGUUUUUGAAGAGUUUUUUCCCAUCGGUGUACGAGAAGCAACAAGCAAACUCGUCAGCGAAUCAGUACUGUCAAUAUAACAGCGAGUCGUUGACUUUGUUCACGUCUUCGCUAUACUUGGCUGCUUUGAUAGCAUCGCUUGUAGCAUCAUCGGUGACAAGAAAAUUCGGAAGAAAGUGGUCGAUGUUAUUCGGUGGGGUUCUGUUUCUUGCUGGUGCAUUAAUCAAUGGCUUGGCCCAAGACGUUUGGAUGCUUAUUGUUGGCCGUCUUUUGCUCGGUUUCGGUAUCGGCUUCGCUAAUCAGUCUGUGCCACUCUACCUCUCUGAGAUGGCUCCCUCUAAAUACAGAGGAGCCUUGAACAUUGGGUUUCAAUUGUCAAUCACCGUUGGAAUUUUAGUGGCCAACGUGUUGAAUUUUUUCGUUGCUAAGAUUAAGGGUGGCUGGGGAUGGCGUUUGAGCUUAGGUGGUGCCAUGGUCCCUGCCCUUAUCAUCACCGUCGGUUCAGUUUUCCUCCCGGACACACCAAAUUCAAUGAUUGAACGCGGCCAGCACGAUGAAGCCAGAAAGCAACUUAGAAAAGUUCGCGGUGUUAAUGAUGUUGACGGAGAAUUUAAUGAUCUUGUUGCAGCCAGUGAAGCAUCCAAGCAAGUUGAACAUCCUUGGAGGAAUUUGUUGAGAAGGAAAUAUAGGCCUCACCUUACCAUGGCUGUUCUGAUUCCCUUCUUCCAGCAAUUCACUGGCAUUAAUGUUAUCAUGUUUUACGCUCCUGUUUUGUUCGACACAAUUGGUUUCGGCAAUGAUGCAUCACUCAUGUCCGCUGUGAUCACCGGUCUAGUCAAUGUUUCCGCAACAUUUGUAUCAAUUUGUACUGUCGACAAGUGGGGAAGAAGACGUCUUUUCCUUGAAGGUGGUGCUCAAAUGUUAAUCUGCCAGGCCGUUGUUGCUGCUUGCAUCGGUUAUAAAUUUGGAGUUGAUGGGAAUCCUGGAGAGUUGCCCAAGUGGUAUGCCUUUGUGGUCGUAAUUUUCAUCUGCAUAUACGUUGCCGCGUUUGCCUGGUCUUGGGGUCCUCUUGGAUGGUUGGUGCCCAGUGAAAUUUUCCCACUCGAAAUCCGGUCAGCAGCACAGAGCGUGAAUGUUUCUGUGAACAUGGCAUUCACAUUCUUGGUUGCACAAGUAUUCUUAAACAUGCUUUGCCAUCUCAAGUUUGGCCUGUUCAUUUUCUUCGCAUUCUUCGUCGUGCUGAUGACCAUUUUUAUCUACUUCUUCUUGCCCGAGACUAAAGGAAUUCCAAUCGAAGAAAUGGGUCAAGUGUGGAAGAACCAUUGGUUCUGGUCCCGUUAUGUUGGCCAAGAUGAUUUCCUCGCCAAUGGAGGCCUGGAGAUGCACAAAGAAGAAACUGCUGUCAACAAUGUCUGAUCUGCAUGCUCAACUCCAUCCGGAUUUUUGUUUAGUUUCUAUUUUUAUUUUUUAUAUUUUUUAACAGUAAGUAGUAGUAGUACAGUUAUUCUGUCGGUUUAUUAUUCUAGCCUUAUCAAUGCCUUUUCUAUUCGACUUUAGUAGUGUUUAUUACAAUUUCUAAAGAAAUUAAUUUCAUGUAAGUUUUUACUUUAAUCAUUUUCCUUGUUUGGGUUCUCUGUUUUUCCUUUUUUUUUUUUUUUAUUCAUCAGAAAUCGUCACUCUUACAAUUUGGACCAAGAAAUUCUUCACACAGGAAUCUGAAGAAAAAUUAACAAGGAUUGAAAACAUGACUGAAACUUGAUGUGAAACUGUGAAAACUUGGAGAGUUACACGUUGGUAUUAUUAUUCUUUAACUGAACGAUGCCUGUCCACGUAAGUGCUCAUGUACGACCAAAAAAUCCGUGGUUUUGCAAUUUAUCACAUGCCCUUUCACUUGUUCAUAUUUGAACAAUACACCAAACCUUUUAGCUUUAUUCCACAUUUUUACUCUAAGAGUCAACCGUUUGUUCAAUAGUUCUCAUGAUAUAAAAACUUACAAAAUUAUUAAAAUACAUUUUUUGCUGCUCAAUAUUUUUAUGAACUGGUCAACUAAUAAUUUUUUUUUAAAAAUACCCACGUGGUUGCCAUAUUACGAGAGCAUAAAGCAGAAUUUGCAGCAGGCUUCGACAGAAGUCUGAGGGUCUUGGCCUAUUGAUAUUCGUACUUUGUCCAUGAAUAUCCAAAGAACAGAUAUUGGGAUACAGAUUGAAAUGCAAAAGAAUAUGGCAGAGUAAGUAUAGGUUCCAGUUUUAUGGUAUUGCUCUGCUCCAUAUGCUUGUCCACAAAGAGUCUCUAAUGCACAGGUGAAACCGAACUGCUCAAGAUUUAAAGGUACUUUGCACAUUAGCAUGGAAAAUAUGGAGUAAACUAACAAGAUCAGUUAGAAUAUUGCUUGUUCAAUGAUCGAGCUCGAAAAGUAACUCAAAAUUUCUUAGUAUCUUAAAAGUGGUAACUGAUUAAUUCUUCACCAAUAAUUGAUCAAAGUUAAUUAAUUUGUUGAUCUUGGCCGAGGCAUAAUAGACGUGUUUGGUACUCACACCUGUGAAAGGCAAGCUAAAGCAAAGUUUCAGAGCUGAUUGCCCAUUACAGAUAAAUUUUACUAGUGACCAGUUAGAGUUGAUAGCACAUUGUUAGGUGUUUGAUAGAAGUUCAAGCGAGCACGGGCAAAUUGUUAGGAUGCAAUAACAGAAAAGACAUACAAGGCAGGGUCAUUAGACUAAUUAAACCCAGCAUGCUUUGACGUGGAGAAGAAAAUGAAAAGAAAUAAAAAAUAAAAAAGUAAAGCAGCUUUAAUGAUGAAAAACAAAAGGGAAUAAAGAAAAUAUUACUAGUGGAAUGAAGCCUACCAAAAUUCACUGGUAUAUAAUUAGCUGCCUGAUGUUAGCACUGCCAAUUCUACACAGAUUUGUUGUUGUUUUGUAUCUGUGGCUAAUUUAAUUUCACAUGUUAGUGACAUUGAGAUAUUUCUGUCAAGACUCAUCGCUGCGGAACUUGAAAAGCAGUGUGUAAAAAUACAUUUUAAAAGAAAUUUGCUGCAAUUAAUGCAAUAAUGUCAUUGUGGAAUCCAGCUUGUAGCUGUCAUCUAAGAAAUCUUGUUAUGAUGGCAACAUAAUUGUGCAGUUAAUUACUUUAUUACAUCAAAUCAAACCGAUCUAUUACCAGCUGAAUAUGUUCCCUCAAAUAUCCUCUCCCUUGCCAUUCUCGCCUGGAAAUAUCCACAAGCAAACCCAAUCACGAAACAAAUUCAAGGAUGAUUCAUUGUUAAAGAAACAAACACUUAUUGAAGAAUGAGUGAAAUGAGCUUGAAACCUGCUUUCGCCAAUUUGUGGUAACAGUAAUGAUUGCAAGCACAAUUGCUUGUACAGCUGAGCCGAUCAUUAUUCCAAUCCAAAGGCCUUUUCCUCUAAGAUUAAGAACAAAACAUAACACAGAUGCUAAUGGAAUUCCAACGAUAUAAUACGCACCAAGAUUUACAUAAGCCCCUAUGUGCUGCCACCCAGUUCCUCUAGCGACUCCUGAUGAAAGAACAAAUUGAUGAAAAAUUAAUGCAAAUAUGUCCUGGUACUUCUGCCACCCAAGAUUAUUCGCUGGUAUUUCUUUAGAUGAGUGCAAAUAAAUCCUGAGGGGAAAAGCUCACCGGAUAGUACUGAUUGAAGACUGUCCAUGAUAAUAGAGAAACUCAGCAGAGGAACUAAUUCACUGACAUAAUUCACAACGUCCUUGUCACUGUUGAAUGCAUAUGCCAAUACAUAGCGGCAGCAGAAGAGAAUUGUGCCCACUAUGACAGCCUCUGUGACUGCAAGAACCAUCACGACACAGGCAGCCAACUGAGCUGCCUGUGGAUUUCCCGCUCCUAAUUCAUUUGAUACCCGAGUGCUACAAAAUGGUAGGUUGCAUAUAUCUCAGUACAAAGAAAUUAUCAGGGCACUGAUAUAGUCAGAUAAUAGAAUUGUAUUUUGGAAUAAGAUAUAGAUCAAACCUUGCAGCAGCACCAAUUCCAUAUGGUAUAAAGUAGUGUGUUGAUGAGAUGGUAAGGCUGCAAGAUGAAGAUCAAAGAAAAUUAAAUCAAUCCUACUGAGAGUUUCCCCAAACUAAAGCCAAACACAAAUGUUGAAGCUUACCAUAUAGAAAGAACCGAUGUUUCAAGUUUGGAAUUUGGUAGAAGUCCAGAGAGUAAUAUCAGAAUCUCAAACGACCACCAUUCAAGACUAUAAUGAUUGAAACAAAAGAACACAAUAUAAACAAAUAACAACAAAAACUUAACAAAAACAUUGCAAAGUGAGAUUGAGAAAUUACCAAAACAUUACAACAGUGGGGAGGGCAAAGGAGAAAAACUCCUUAAUGCAAGAGAAAAUGUCACUGAAGAUAAAUACGCGAGUUUUCUCACAUGACGAAGAGUAUCUCAUAUAAAGGGCUAGGAUGACUGCAUUCAAACAGUACGAUAAACCAAUGGCUAAUGCUGCUCCUACAAUUCUGAAGUUUGCUUUAAACACUAGAUACCAACAAAGAAGAAUAUGGAAACACAGAGUUGCACAUGCGCUCAAGAACAAUGGAAGAAUCAAGCUCUGAGACUGGAGAUUGUGAAUUAGUGGUCGAAGGACAGCAAAUGCAAGUAAUGCAGGUAUGAGCGAAAUUGAGAAAUUGCAGGCUUCGGUGGCAAUCUCAGGGUCUUGGCCUAGCAGUAUUAAUACUUUGUCCAUGAAUAUCCAAAGAACAGAGAUUGGGAAACAAAUUGCAAUGCAAAAGAACAUAGCAGAGUAAGUAUACGUUCCAAUCUGUUGAUACUGCUUUGCUCCAUAAGCUUGUCCACAUAGAGUCUCUAAUGCACAGGCGAAACCGAACUGCCCAAAAUUCAAAGCUCCAAUGAAUACAAUAUACAUAAACACUUGACAAGUCUGAAAAUGAAUCAGAAACUCAAAUAUGAAGACAUAAUUUUGCAGGCUAAUCAGAAACUGUCAUUUUUUUAGACUAUUCAUCCAUAUAUGGACCUUAAAAUGAGUCACUGACACCAAGAUUGAACCUUAAAGCCAAGGUUUUAAGUCUUAAUAAACAAAAUUCAUCUCAGCUCCUGCUCUUCUAGUAUACACGCUUUUAAUUAGUAUUGCAAGGGGGUAAAUAAUUACACAUAUGAAAUGAAAGCAAGGUUUGUAAGAAUAAGAAUAAGGGAAUAAGGAAAGUGUAGAUUACAAGUGGAAUGAUGCCAGUGACAUUAGUGAAAGAGGUGGCGAUGGCGACACUGGCAAGUGUAAGUUCACCAAGGUGUCCCGCCAUCAUCAGCGACACAGCUGGUAAAAGGUACUGUGAAACCGUGACCCCCACCAUGGGCGCUGCCAAGAAGCUCAACUUCUUCAGCUCUUCCACAAACGCUCCUCGUGUGACCACCCAUUUCGUCUCUUCUUCCCUGCUCUCUCCCAGAAGCGGCUCCUCCAUUUUUCUGUGUAUGCUAACUAGGAGUAGUAAUCUCACUGGAUUCUUUUCAUUUUCUUCUCUUACUUCUAUGAUUGCAAUGGUUGUACAGUUCGAGAACAAAAGUCAGCAUGAGCGUGGACUCGAGGUGUAAUUGGCUUUGGUGUUUGGCAUUUUGGCUUUUAACGCACGUCUCAUACGUGGUCGCCAGAAGUCUCACGUGCGACAAGUUUUUCAACAUCUUCGCAUGACUGUUGAGUUUGAUCUGGUGAGUUAAAAGAUUGCUGGGAACCAACUCAUUCAAUCGGGCCCUACUAAGGAAGGGGCCGGCCUUGUACAAGGAGGAGGAGAGUUAAUUGAACGAUGCCUAUGUACAGGUAAGUGCUAAUGUAUGCCCGAAAAAAGAUACCUGUGAAAUGCUUAAUUAAUAAUUUUUUUUCAAAUACACUUGUAGUUCCCUUGUUAUGAGUACAUAAAGCACCGGCGACUCUCCUCUAAUACAAGUUUAAAGUUACUACGAAAUUAAAUACCUUUUAGAACAGUCUUUAAAGACUUAACCGAGUAAAUUUUAAUCAGCUUUAUACUAAAAAAUUUAAUUGAUUAUUUAGUUCUCUCAAUCUUAAUGAGAGAAUACUCUAGAAAUUAAUGGUUGGUGGCAUACGAACUAAAAAAUUUUAAGAAAAAUAAUUAGAUUUUUCUUGGACGAUGCUUAUGUGUUGAAUUGGGAUCAAGGUGUUUAGUUGUUCUCUAUUCUACUUAUUGUUAACCUUUUUUUUUUCUUUUUUCUUUUUAGUCUUCUCUUCUCAUUAAACAGACACUAAGGCAAAAUUAGUAAAUUAUUUUAUUAUUGGUCUUAUCGUGAGUAGAAAAUCAUUGGUGCAAAUUCAAUUAUUUAGAUCAACAAAAAUUUUGGGAUAUGAAUAAAUGAGAAAAUUUUGAAUAUUCCUAAAAUAUUAUUCCUUUUGUAUCGUGAGUAGAAUAUGACCACCUUAUUUUAACUCAAGCUUUUUAUUUAAAAUUUUGACAUAAAUUCUCAUCUAUAAACUUUGUGGCAAAAUCUUAAGUUGAAAUAGGGAGAAAAAAAUCUAAAGAAUGUAUAAAAUUUGUAGAAAGAAAAGCUGCACGUGAGCACGUGAGAUAUGUCAAAAUCAAAAUUCAUCAAUACAUCAAAUUUCAUAUACAUGGCAACUUAAACUCGCACAGCUCAAUGGAAAAAUUUAACUUUUAUCAAAAAGUAACGUUGCAUCCUCAUUUUACCUCUAACUCUAAGAGGUCUUGCAAUGGCCAAAGUAGCCAGUCAAUCUUUCUUUUGACGCUAUUUAAUCAUUCUGUACAGCAGAACACCCAUCAACUACUCUCAUCCUGGCCAUAGCUGCCUGCAUUGAGGAGUUGCUAAAGUUUAACAAUGAAAAAUAAAGCAACGAAAAAAUAAAUUUAAUUUGAAUUAAUCAAGAACCUGUUUUUUCCAGUUUGUGAAAGUUGUAGCAAGAGAGAGAAGGCUGGACUGCACAACAGAGCCAGCCACUAUUCCGAUCCAAAGUCCCUUUCCUCUUAAAUGUGCUACAAAACCCAACAUGGCACCCACUGGCAACCCAACUAAAUAAAAUGCCCCAAGGUUAAUGUACACCCCUAUAUGCUGCCAUCCACACCCUUUCGCAACCCCUAUUGCAAACGUAGAAUCCACCUUUAUUAAGAAUUGAAAAUUUGAACCGCAUUUGAAUCCCAGAUGUUUUGUGGUUUGUGUAUUCAAGAGAUAAUUACCAACUGAUCUAGUCAACACCAACCUCUUGGAUGUAUACUUUAUAUGUGUGUGUCUAUAUAUAUAUAUAUAUAUAGCAUGUAUCUAUUUAACUAUUACGACAUUUACCGAAUGAUAUAUAAGUCAACAGUGACUCUUCAGUCUCCCAUACUAUUAUCCAACAAAGAUUUUAAUUGAAAGAAGUGUAAUUAGAAAGCAACUACUAACCAGAAAAAACAGCUUGUAAGCUGUCUGUAAUAACUGAGAGACAAAUCAGAGGAGCCAUAACAGCAAUAUAAUGCACAACUUGGCUGUCUUUGGUGUAAGCGUAACCCAAAAAAUAGCGGCAGCAGAAGAGGAUCGUGCCGACUAUCACUGCCUCUACCACAGCAUAAGUUGUUGCAGCCCAUACAGCCACUCUAGCUGCUUGCGGAUUCCCAGCUCCAAGCUCAUUUGAAACUCGAGUACUAUACAUGACAUAUAUAUUAACAUGCACAUAGUCAAAUGCUAGCCUGCUCCAUUUGUAUUAUUUUAAAAAAAAUGCAAAUCACAGGGAGCAACCAAAAGCAAGAAAAAAAAAAAGACCUUGCAGCUACUCCAAAAGCAUAUGGUAUUGUGAAGUGCAAUGUUGAAAUUGUAAGGCUGAUCAUAAAACAACAACGAUUAGAAGCAUAUACAGUUUAAUUCUAGGACAAUUUAUAAGUCAAAAUUAAAUAGUUAUAACUAAAAUAGGAGCUAAUUACCAAAUUGAAAGUACUGAAGUCUCCAGCUUGGGAUUCGGUAAAAGGCCGGACAACAAAAUUAAGAUCUCCAUCGACCACCAUUUUAGACUAAUUAAUCACCAUAAUCGAUCACCAUAAGAGAGAGACUUUUGAGAUUAAAAGAGAAGAAACAACACAAAAAGCAAAAUUACCAUUCUAAGAGAAAAGAGGAAUAAUUACCAAACCAUUAUGGCAGAAGGUAUAGCCAAGCGAAAGAACUGUCCAAUGGCUAGGAAAGAUUCUUUAGAAACCGGGGCGCGAGUUUUCUCACAAGCUGAGGAGUACAUCAUGUACAAUCCGAGCAGUAUCACAUUCAACCAAGUUGAUAGACUGAAGGCUAGAGCUGCACCCAUGCUUCCUAAUUCUAGUUUGAACACAAGAGUCCAGCACGCGGGUAUAUGAAAACAUAGAAUUAGAAAAGAACUUGCAAACAUGGGAAGAAUCAAGCUCUGAGUCUGAAAGUAUCGGGUUAGUGGUUUCAGGAUUGCACUCCCGAAUAAUGCAGGGAUUAGCCACAUUGAAUACUUGCGUGCUUCGUGGGAGAUUACAGGAUCUUGGCCUAUUAGAGGUAACAAUUUGUCCAUAAAAAUCCACAACAGGCAAACUAGAGGGCAAACAAGAAUCAACGAAAUUAUGGCAGUGUAAGUAUGAACUCCAAGCUUCCGAAAUUGUGCUGCUCCAUAAGCUUGCCCACAUAGAGUUUCCAAUCCACCAGCCAUUCCUGACUGCUUGGCAAGUCCAAAUUAAAUUCAAUCAUUAAUCACCAAAAUUAUCUCUAGGAUUAAUUAAACCUGAAGAUGAAGGUAAUGUGAGUAGAGAGCAGCAAACUUACUAGAAGACUAAAGCCGGUAACAUUUGUGAGAGAGGUGGCGAUGGCUACACUAGACAGGGCAAGCUGGCUUAGAUGUCCCACCAUUACCGUUGACACAACUUGCAGAAGGUACUGCAACACAGAGACUGCCACCAUUGGUGCCGCGAUACGGCCAGCCUUCUUCAGCUCUUCCAUAAAUCCACCCCAUGUAAUUGCCCAUCUCUUCUCCUGGCUCUCUCCAACUUCCAUAUCCAUGCAAAAUUGAUAAAUGAUAAUAAUGAUGGUAUCUUAGUUUGCUUUGCCACUAUUAAUAAAAAGAGCCAAUCCAAAGAAACACGAAGUUCGUAUGCUGUCCUCUGUUUUGGCUUUGCUUGAGAAUUCAAUAUUAACGAUUUAAUGUUUUGACUGUUUCAAGAGAGCAGCAUCCUGAGAAGUUCAAAUUAGUGGAGUCUAAUGGGUCAUUGAACAUCAAUUAAAAUUUCAUUCAGACCCAACUUUUCAGAGCAGAACUUCUAUUAAGUUUUUCACUAGGAAAUGCAUAUUUGUCAUAUGCCCUUGGCGCAGCUCAGCAGCUGUGAAAGCCCCUCGAUCAUUUAAAGAAAGUUUGAGUAAUGCUGUCAUAUAAUUGCUGGUGUUCAAUCGGUCAGAUUUUUCAUCUUUUCUCGAUCUUUUAAAAAAUCAUAAUAAUAAUUAUAAUAGAUAGGGAGACACGUAGGUGGGAUUGAGAUUUUGUCUGAUAUGGCUUGAUUUGAAGUAUUUUUUGAUAUCUGCAUAUAGUAGGUACACUCUUAUCUUCUGAGUGAUGGGCUUCAUUUUUGGCCGUUCUGAACAAAAAUUUCUGUGGAAUAUAAUAAAGGAGAGGAAUAAAAAAGCAUAUCGCAAAUUGGGUGUACUGUCUCACAUCUGAAUCAUUUAAUAAUGCGUUUGGAAGCACAUUUUUGACUAGUUACUACAUAAUAUCAGCUUAGAAGAAACAGAUGCGAUUCCCCUAGUAGCUUUCAAAUUUCAAUCAGUUGUAUGCGAGCGUUCCUUAACAGAUGAGAAGAAAGAAAAAUGGCAAAACAGGAAAAAAAAAAUUCUGAUGUUUCUAGUGUCAGUAGAUCCUAUUGAAAUAUAUAUUUUUCACUUGAUAAUAACUACUUUAGAAUUAUCCUAAGAUAGAACACGAAUCAAACUACACACAUAAAAUAAUAAAUAAUAAAAAAAUAUUAUAACUUUAAUCGUAUGAUUAUUAAAAUAUAUUUUAUUGUAGAGUGGUUCCAACAUAACCGGACACUUUUCACUUUCUUCCCCUUAACUAUGUUAGACUUUACGUCUAAAUUCGCACUUGUCUCUCAAGGUUUUGAUGGACUGUUAACAUGGACUAAAUGAAUAGAAAUACAUAGAUACCCUUGAUUUGAAGCAAAAUAACCAUGCCAGGAAACGAAACAGCUCGUGUAUAAAGAGAUGACAGUGUUAAUUUGGACAAAAAGUCUAUUAAACUGUGGGUUGGACAAAAUCCAUUCGAGGAUAAUGAAAAAUAUCUAUUUUGAUAUAAUGUAUAGGGUAUACCGAUUCAAAACUCAAAGUCGUUUCGUUCUUUAAAAAAUUUCACUGCUUUAAAAAUUAAAAAAUCACAUUUAUAAUUAAUUUUUUUAUCAUGCUCUAAAUUCUUUCUUUUUUUUUUUUUUGGUCAACAUCGUCAAAUUUUAUUAAGAAUUACCUAUGCCUUGAUCGAUCAAAUCAAUGGACAUUUCGUUCUUAUUUGAUAAAAUCAAUAGCCAUUUGGUUCUUAUUUAAUGUGUUCCAAUGGUAAAUCUAUUUGAGAAUUCAAUUUUUUCCCCCUCAUAAUUGAAUUUUUUUUUUUUUUUUUUGGGGAAAAAGUUAACAUGUCAAUUUCUGCCAAAAAAGUGGCUGUGCAUUCACAUAAAAUUGGCAUUUUUCUAUAUAUCAAUGUGAUCUUAUGGAUAUAUAUUCAUUUUUCUGUACAUAUAUGGAAUGAUGAUGCUACGUGACUUUUUUCUUUUUUGAAUUUUAUGAUGUUAUAAUCACAAAUUUGUCUUAUUACUUAUUCUCAAGGAAUACUGUAAUAGUAGUGCCCACCUUUUUUCUUUUUUAAAUUACAUGAGGGGAUGUGGAAAUUUUUCCAACCUGUGAGCAAUGUGAGGUAGAAGGCAAACUUGUCCAUUUUCAAUUCCCAAACCCGUAAGAAUCAGACUUUUUUUUUUUAAAUGAUCAAAUAAAUACAAUUGGCUACUUCUGCCAGACAGGAACAAUACAAGUGUCUUAACAUGUCGAUCAAAUGGCCAAAAGUAAAACGCAAUCCCUAAGUUAACUUACAAUUGCUAAAAAUGACGUAAAAAUGAAUAUCAAGCAAAUGGAUCAAAUAGGACCAGUAUCAUUAUUUUACCUUGUCUUUAAUCGUUGUAAGUUGCAUUUUAGGGAAUAAUAAUAAUAAUAAUAAUAAUAAUAAUAAUAAUAAUAAUAAUAAUAAUAAUAAUAAUAAUAAUAAUAAUAAUAAUAAUAAUAAUAAUAAUAAUAAUAAUAACAAUUGGAAAAUGCUACUUCCCUCGGGUCAAACCCUAAAUUAUUUCAAAACGGCGUCGUUUUGGUUGUCUUUUUUUUCUUUUUACUUGCAUGAAACGUAGUCAUUUGAGCUAGUAAAAACAAAACAAACUAAAACAGAAAAAACUCAAGUGCUUCUCUUCUCUGCCCCUUUCUUACUUUCCUUUUGACAAACCACGGAAUCACACCCACAAACAACAAUCACCCACGGUCACGCGAACAGCCGGCACAGACGAAGGACAAGCCCACAGACGACGAACCACCGCAUCGAAAUCUCUAUCCACAUCACCGGCACCAUCAUCGUAGGUUCGUAACAAACCGUCGUAAGUUAAACCCUUCUCACCGUCAAUGAACUCGCCGUAAGUACGGAAUACUUCGUCGAUAAUUGCGUUGAUUUGUUCGUCGCUGAAUUCGACUCGAGGGUUUACGGCCACCAAUAAAGCCGCCAUUUCUUCUCUAUUAAGGCCACCGUCGCGGUUCGUGUCAAAUUGUUGAAAAAUUCUCUUCACUUUCUCUAAUCUGCUUCCUCUCGUAGCCAUUUUUUUUUUCCCUUUUUCUGGGAGUCAGUUUGGUUUCUCAGUGUUUGUUUGAGAAAGCGAAAUUAGUAGAUAAUGGAAUAUAAGGAAAAGUUGAUAAAAAGGCAAAGGGUGGUUACUUUAAAUUUAAAAUUUGAAACCCUAAUUCAUUUCAAUUGAGGUUUGUUUAAUUGUUGGUGAGAAUAAUGAUAAUGAUGGCUUAAUUCUGGGUUUUGUUGGAUCUGAAUGAAUUCUUAACGGCAAAAGUUAAAGAGUAGAAGAAGGGCGAGAGGACGGACUCUCAUUCUUUCCCUUUUUUUCUUUUAAUUUUAAAUAUAUCAAAAACGGCAGCGUGUUGGAGAAGUAAAAAAGAAAAAAAAAUUAAAACAAAACGACGCCGUUUUAUUUUUUUCGGGAUUUGACCCGGGGCAAACAUCAGCACUCCUAACAAUUUGAGUAGAAAUUAUCAUGAACAAAUGCCUGCAUAUCUUAACAUCUUCAAAGAUAUGUGACUUAAUGAGGGACACUCCAUUUUAUGAAACACUUGCAUCAGAAAAUUCUGAAGGGACUGCAAAUGCCUUUUGAGACAUAGGAGAUUUACAUUAUUGACAAACCCAGGACAAAGCAGAAAGAAGCAAGUUUCAAUUUGUUUCUCAGCCAAAAAUCAAGUUCUUCCGUUAUUUUCUGUCUACUUUCUUCCCCUUUAACUCCAAUUUUUUCUCUGACCCUUGGUUUUGGAAUUGAGCAAGUAAUUGGAGGAGUCAAAGAGAAAGAAAGUAAACAAAAUAAAUAUAUAUAUAUCAGCAACUCCCUAGAUCUAAUCUGCUUCUGGCUCAGUUAGGUGAUCAGUCAUUAAGAUCUAUAGCCUCUCCACCUUACUAGUACUCCCAGCCCUUUAGAGCAAAUUAUUAAACCAACCCUCGGAAAGCUCAGACACAUCCUUUGUAUUCCAACUGUGCAAGUGUAAUGUUAACCUAAGGUCCUCUUUUCUUUUCAUUUGUAUGCUUGAAGAAAAAUCAACAAGAAAAUGCAAUACCAGCAGGUAUUAUUUGUAAUUUAUAUGGAAAUUAUCAUUAACAUAUGCUUACAUAUCUGAAAUCUUCAAAAGUUUGUUUAUGUGUAGCAAUCCAAUCUAUUUUAUCAAAGACAGAAAAACUUAUGUUCAAGCAGAACAAUCAAAAGGGAAAGUAAAUGCCCCAAUUUUGAGCUAGCACCAAUAAAUUGAAGAUGUACAUUAUUGACAAGCAUAGAACAAUGUCAGCUUGAAAAGAAGCAGAUAAAAGCACAUAUUUAGACAGGAGAAACUCACAAACUACCUCAGUUUUUGUGCUGCAUCCUACCACUUUCUGCACCAGCAUAGGGAUCAAUAGUAACAUUUAUUACAGCUGGCUUUCGUGCAGCAAACGAUUCAGAAAGGGCCGACUUGAGUUCAUCUGGUGUCCCAACUAAAUAUCCUUUUCCCCUAAAAGCUUCCAUGAGCUUAUGAUAAGCUGCACCAGGUACAAAAGAAGUAGGUGCAGGAUCAUCUUUGAAAGGCCCUGCAAUUUCUUCAGGGUUUCUGCGAUCUCCACCAUACACACCACCAUUAUUAAAAACUAUCACGACAACAGGCAACUGAUAUCGAACCAAUGUCUGCAAAAUUAGAAGAAACAGAGACCACAUUAGUCUCUUUUUCUUCUCCCACCUUUUUCCAUUUAUUGGAUGAGGAUAUGCUAUAUGUAUGAAUCAACUUUGGACUUGGACAAAGUAAAAUUCAUUUAUUCCAUUAAUUGAUUAACAUUUUUCCUUAAAGUUAAUCAAUCUUCUAACUAUACAGAUACGCAAACAUCCAAGUGCGAGCAUGUCACAAGCACAAAUUCUCAUUUUUCAUUCAGAAGGAAAGUGAAAAAGAGGGGGAAAAAAGCAUGGAAGGUAUCUACAAUGAAAAACCCUCAUCUAAGUCACACAUCAAUGAAGAAUGCAAUAGAAGAAAUCUUUCCACUAAAUACAGAAAGAUGCACCAAGAACUACCCUUCUGAAAGCAAGGCAGCAAUUAAGCAAGUUCAGAUUAGCUAAAACUAAAUGUCUAAAUCUGACAGUGGCCAUCUAGCAUUUGAUAAUUACAAGACUACUAAUUCACUAGAAUAGAACCAGCAUCAAAAGAAACUCAAAUAUCCAAAUCGUAAGAAAAUUAAGGAUAUAUUGAGAAAAGGAAGACACAGGGGAUAAAAGCCAUUUAGGAACCGUACCAUCAACUAUCGAUCCCUGACAAAAAGGAAAUGAGCUAGGAAACUAGAUAAAGUAAAACCUAAACAGUAUGUCCUAAAAUCAAGAAGCCAGACUGCCUGUAAUGAGCAAGCGAAGUUUUCCAAAUUUGUGACCAUCAUCCCAGUAAAUAAUGAAAUGCUUUAGAAAGCAUGAUAAAGUUGAUGCUGGCACUCAAAGCUUUAAACAAGCAAGAUUUGACUGCCCAAACUAAGGUAGUCAGUCUCUCCCAUCAAAUAGAGAAGGAUCCUAAUUCAAGCUGAUGAUCAAAACUUAACUUUGCCUAUAUCCACUUGAAACUGCAUCAGCCUUCAAAUUCUUCAAAAGUUAUUACCAUAGGACGACAACUCACAAAUGUCCUAAAUCUUUAAAAUCUAAUAUUAGACCAUUGGAGAUGUGCCGCAGAUUUCAAGAUUAAAGCGAAAGUAGAAUAAAAUGGAACGCUAAAGAGAAUCUUAAAAUAACAAAAUAAUCAUAAAUGACUAGCAAUUUGCAUCAUGUUUGUUGAUGAAUUAAGGAAGUCAAGCAUGAUGUACAAGUUUAUUCUUGUGAAUAAAAUGUAAGCAUAAAUAUCGUUAUAUGCUAGAGAUCAUAAUUAUGCAAGAGAGCCAUACCUCAACCUCAACCGCACUGAACCCAAAUCCAGAGUCUCCUUCAACAGCGACCACAAGCCGUUCAGGGCAAGCUAUUGCAGCAGCAAUGCAAUACCCUAAACCAACCCCCAUGGUCCCCCAAGUCCCUGCAUCCAGCCUACAGCGAGGCUCAGUUUGAACCAAUACUGCCCUACCCACAUCCAUAGUAUUUGCCCCUUCAGAUACCAAUAUAGGAGCGGGGCUCCCGACUCCUAAGAUCGCAUCUCUUAUAAUCCUCAUUGGCGUCAUGAAAUUAAACGGCACAACAUCCUUCGCCAACUGAACCUCCAUUUUCAACACAUUGUCCUUCGUUUUCUUCCAAAUAGCCUCAACCCAAGGAUGAUUCUUCCCCAAACAAAAAGGUUCAUCUUUAAUCUCCUUAUUAAUCAUUUCCAACACUUUUUUAGCAUCUCCAACCAAACCCAAGUGUGGUUUCCUUAACUCAAUCUCUUCCUUGCAAACAUCAACCAAAACAAACUUCACAUCCUUCGACCACUUCGGUGGCUCACCAAAAUGCAACAACCAAUUAAGCCUCGCACCAACAACAAGCGCAACAUCACAUUGACCUAUGGCUAAUGACCUCGCAGCGGCAGCAGCAAGCGGAUGGGUAUCAGGCAACAGACCUUUACCCAUUGGAGUAGGCAAAAAUGGAAUCCCAGUACUUUCAACUAAUUUCUUCAAUUCACCCUCAGCUCGCGCAUAAGCUGCGCCUUUCCCAAACACAAUCAACGGCUUCUUUGCUUCUUUAAGCAAAGACACCGCUUUAUCGAUAUCAGAAUUCACAAUCCCCCCUUGCGUCACCGUUUCUAUGGCACUCUCCGCUUCCUUCAGAAGCUUCUCCGCUUCAGAUACCGAUAUCGUUUGAUGUAAAACAUCAGUGGGUAGAUCCAAAUAACACCCGCCGGGCCGCCCCGAAACAGCCCGUUCAAGAACCUGAGCGACACACUUGGGAACUUCCGUAAUGUCCUUCGCUUUUACAGCAAAUUUCGAAAAAGGCUUGACGGCUUCCACUUGGUCGAGUUCUUGAAAAUCGCCGCGGCCAAAAUCUUUCUGAUCGCAGGAGCCGGAUAUCAUGACGAUUGGCCAGGUGUUAAUCAUCCCAUUCGAGAGACCAGCCAGACCGUGCACGCAACCCGGACCGGAAACAGUUAACAGAAUGCCGGGUUUUCCAGUCAGGUAUCCGUAGGCUGAGGCGGCGUAGCCAGCGGACUGCUCAUUGUGGAAGGCGAUGAACCGGACGCCGAGCUGGACGGCCAGGUUCGCUAAGGAAGUAACGGGAAUGCCCACCACGCCGAACAUGUGGGUGGCACCGAAUAGUGACAAGGAUUUGGCCGCCAGGGUGUUGCCGUCGAUCUGGGCAUUUUGGGAAUUUUGCAAUGGAGAUGAUGGAUGAAGCAUUGGAGGAAGCAAAUUUGAUAUUGAGUUCAAUUGAAUUGAUCACCAUAAAGACAUUGUGUUUCUUGGCGAUUACUUUUUUUUGUUUUUUUGUUUUUUUUAUGCAAAUGCAACCAAAAUGGGUAGCUUCACCCAUAAAACGACAUAACUGGUAGUAGGUAUAGCGACAAUGCUUUCCCGAUUAUCAUUAUAUUUGUUUCCAAAAGUAUUAAUCCUCAUCCGUUGAAUGAUAACACGUAAUUAUUACUUUGGGAUGAUAUUGCUUAAUCCGAAAGAAGGAUGUAAUAACUUUAAAAAAAAAAUACAUAUGACAUAGAAGAGCAUCAUUAAAAAAUUUUUUUAAUUUAAUUUUUUAAGUAUUUCUUUAUUUAUAUAUGUUAUAAAUAGAAGAGAGAAAAUAUCAUUUCUCAUAAGACUUUUCAAAUAAAAAUAAAUUUAUACUAUUUUACUCAAAAUUUUCUUUCAUUAAAAUAAUAACAAUUAUAACCAUUCCCUCUCUUUAAAAGUAAUGAAAUAAAAAAUAAUAUAGUACUAAAUUAAGUGUUCUAAAAGACUCUCUAAAUAAUUUUUUUUAAAUUUCAAUAUGAACAAUUUUAUUUAAAAAUUAUUUUAAAACUCUCUUUAUUAACAUAACUCUUCAAAUAAAUAGUAAAUUUUCAUUUUAAAAACUUUUUUAAAAUGUCUAUAAUCGAAAAAAAAAUUAUUAACAGCAAGGGUUCGGCUAUAUUGGAGUUCACCUGUGGUGGAGAACGAAUUUCAGCCACGUACACAAAAUGAUAAAGAAUAAAUAAUAAGUUAUAAUGAGUUUUUUAAUAUUUAUUACUUUGCGUGUGUGGUUGAGAUUCGUGAUCCACCGUAAGUAAACUCCAAUAGUCAUAGCCUAACAACAAUUACCAAAUCAAAUCUUUGAGCACAUGAUUUUAUAUGGGCUUUUACAAAUUGUGGACAUCCAUAAAUAAAUUAGAGUUCAUAAUCGAUUCUUGCUGUGACAGAUUCUGUUUAAUUUUUAAUUUAGAAUUUCUCAGUUACAAUUUACAACUCGUAUAUUCCUAUACAUGAAUUGCAAUGCCUUGGAUGCUUGUGUUGAAAUAUGAUGCAACCGAAGCAUGUGACGUUGUAUGACAUGUCAUGUAUAACAAAAAAAAUGUACGACUUGUCAUCCUUAAACUAAAAGACACGUAUGACAAUAAAAAACGGUUAUCUCCAAUUUAUAUUUCCGAUUACAAUAGUCAUUGAUUCAGUGCUCACAAAGUUAAAUCAUAGUUCUAAUAAUAUACUCAGGGUUUUAUUUAUUUAUUUUGUAUUUUUAGAAAAAAAAAUUGACUAACAGAUAUUACUUGACAACAAAUAAAGAAACUACUACUCAAGAGACACUUUCAACAACGCAUGUGAGGUAAAUAACAAGAGUGAAGAGACGCUUAAUUGAUUGAUAAUCGAAGUUCGAAGCCUGUGUGCUAACAAGCAGUAAAGUUAACAACAGGAAGCUAUAAAUGGCAAACGUUGAUGCUCAUGAUGACAUCCAAAUCAAGUUCAGAAUCGUUGAACAUUUGAAAACAAUCACAACAGGAAGCUAUAAAUGGCAAAAGUAUGGAGGUGCCACUAUUGCCAGAGAGGGAAGAAGAGAGGAAAUGGGUGGUGGUGGUGAAGACGUUGAGCUUCUUAUCAGCGCCGCCGGCAGGGGUGGCCUGUUUUCCGUUCUUUUUGCUGGCUACAGCAACGAUGAUGAUGGGACACCUUGGAAAACUUUCACUUGAUGGUAUUGCCAUUACUAACUCAACUAAUGUCACCGGCUUCAUUCCACUAGUAAUUUUUUCUUCAUUCCCUAUUCUUUUUACCAUUAGAAAACUGCUUUACUUCUUUCUGUUUCACAUCAAAGCAUGCUUCGUUUAUUUAAUCUAAUGACACUGCUUUGUAUGCCUUUUGUUUUGGAGCAAGUUAACAAUUUGCUUGUGCUUGCUAGAAAAUUGUUUAAAUGACUCAAUAUAAUCCACACAGCAAUAAUAUAACAAUAGCUAUUUUUAAAUCCAGAUCAACGACAAGCAACCACAACUAUAUGGUUAAACAAGUUAAAUCAAGCUCGUUUAGCUAUAAUAAGCAAUCAACUUUAGAACUUUAGCUUGACUUUCAUAGGUGAGAAUACCAAGCAGGUCUAUUUUGUCUAGGCUAAGAUCAACAAAUUAAUAAAAUUUGAUUAAUUAUUGGCGAAGAAUUAAUCAAUAUUACUUGGAAGAUAUUAAGAAACUUUGUUCACCUUUUCUGUCACUGGUCCAAAUAAUUUAUGAAGUACUUUUUUGAGCUUUUUUUUUUUUUUUUGGAAAGGUAGUACUUUUUGAGCUUGAACAAGCAUUAUUAUAACUGAUCUUAGUUUACUCCAUAUUUUCCAUGCUACCGCUGUUUACAUAAAACGGAUUUUGGGAGAAUAGCAUAUAUUUCAUCAAUAAUCAAUUGAGACAUAUAAGAUUAGCCAACAAAAUGAUAUCCAAUGUGGACAAUGCCAUUAAAUUUUGAGCAGUUUGGUUUUGCCUCUGCAUUAGAGACUCUAUGUGGACAAGCUUAUGAAGCAGAGCAAUAUCAAAAGAUUGGAACCUAUACUUACCCUGCUAUGUUCUUUUGCAUUGCAAUUUGUAUCCCCAUCUCUGUUUAUUCAUGGACAAAGUACUAAUACUGCUAGGCCAAGACCCUGAUAUUUUUGUCGAAGCCUGCAAUUACGCAAUUUGGCUCAUACUGGCAUUAUUUGGCUAUGCUAUUCUUCGAUCACUAUGUCACAAUCUCCAGGUUCAGAGCUUAAUUCUGGCAUUGUUCUUAAGCUCAUGUGCCACUCUUUGUUUGCAAAUUCUUCUUUGUUGGGGUCUAGUAUCUAAAACAGACUUUGGAAAUACAGGAGCAGAAUUAUCCAUAGGCAUUUCUUAUUGGUUCAAUGUGAUCAUCCUUGCACUUUACAUGGGAUAGAACUCACACGUUGAUCACCAAGCAAAAUUUUCCCUAGGACGAAGGAGUUUUCCUUCUUUGCACACCUUUCAGUUGUAAUGUUUUGGUAAUUUGCCAAUCGUACUUUGCAAUGUUUUUGUUAGUUUUCUGUUCUUAUAAAUUGACUUACAGUGUGCCUUUUGUUUCCAAUAACUUAAGUCUCGAAUGGUGGUCAUAUGAGAUUCUGGUACUGCUGUCUGGAAUAUUACCAAAUCCAAAACUUGAAACAUCAGUUCUUACAAUAUGGUACGUAUCUACACUUACAGUUUUGACUUUUGAGUAAACGGGGAAAAUUCUCAGUAGGGUUGAAUUGAUUUCCUUUGAUCUUCAUAUGCAGCUUUACAAUCCAGUAGGGAGGCACCGAAUAGUGACAAGGAUUUGGCCGCCAGGGUGUUGCCGUCGAUCUGGGCAUUUUGGGAAUUUUGCAACUCCGAACCCGCCAUUGCUUGCUAGAUGUGUGUGUUUGUGCUAAUGCCCGCGUGAGAAGUGGACGGGGUAAAGGGAAAACAAAUUCGGCUUUAGUUUGUUAAGAUAGUUAGGCAAUGGGCGAAAUGUCUAUCAUGCCCUUUCCGGCGUGGUAGCUGGGACAGGUGGCAACGGUGUAUUGAGGAAAGUUAUAUACUUUAUUCGAAAAUAAAGAAAUAAAGAAAUUGAAAUAAAAAAAUUUAUUUUAAUAUAGUCUUCUCAUGCUAAUGGAGGAUGGAGAUGAUGGAUGAGGCAUUGGAGGAAGCAAAUUUGAUAUUGAGUUCAAUUGAAUUGAUCACCAUAAAGACAUGGUUUGUUAUGGGCGGUUACUUUUUUUUGUUUUUUUGUUUUUUUUUUUAAUGCAAAUGCAACCAAAAUGGGUAGCUUCACCCAUAAAACGACAUAACUGGUAGUAGGUAUAGCGACAAUGCUUUCCCGAUUAUCAUUAUAUUUUUCUCUGUAGGUAAAAAUAAAGGUGACAAUUUGUUUACAAGAGUAUCGUUAUUAAUCCUCAUCCGUUGAAUUAUAACACGUAAUUAUUACUUGGGAUGAUAUUGCUUAAUCGGAAUGGAGGAAUGAAAUAACUUUUUUUAAAAUAUAUAUAUAUAACAUCUAGAGCAUUAUUAAAAAAUGCUUUUAAUUUAAAUUUUUAAGUACUUAUUUACUAAUAUGUUAUAAAUAGAAGAGAAAAAAAUCAUUUCUUACAAGAUUCUUCAAAUAAAAAUAAAUUUAUAUUAUUUUACUCAAAUUUUUUCUUCUAUUAAAAUAAUAACAAUUAUAAUCAUUCUCUCUCUUCAAAAGUAAUGAAAUAAAAAAUAAUAUAGUAAGAAAUUAAGUGUUCUAAAAAACUCUCUAAAUAAUUUUUUUAAAUUUUAAUAUGAAUAAUUUUAUUUAAAAUUAUUUUAAAACUCUUUUUAUUAAUAUAACUCUUCAAAUAAAUAGUAAAAUUUUUAUUUUAAAAUGUCUAUAAUAAGCGGAAAAAAAAUGUUAACAGCAACUACCAAAUCAAAUCUUUGAGCACAUGAUUUUAUACGGGCUUCUCCAAAUUGUGGACAUCCAUAAAUAAAUUAGAGCCCUUAACCAAUUCCUGCUGUGACAAAGAUUCUGUUUAAUUUUUAAUUUAGAAUUUCUCAGUUACAAUUUACAACUCGGAUUGUACAUGAAUUGCAUUAUUGCAAUGCCUAGGAUGCUUGUGUUGAAAUAUGAUGCAACCGAAGCAUAUGACGUUGUAUGACAUGUCGUGUAUAAGGAAAAAAUGUACGACUUGUCAUCCUUAAACUAAAAGACAUGUAUGACAAUAAAAAACUGCCAUCUCUAAUUUAUAUUUCUGAUUAUUAUAAUUAUUAAUUCAGUGCCCAACAAAAACUUAACUCAACACUUAAUCUUAGUUCUAAUAAUAUACUCGGGGUUUUAUUUAUUUAUUUUAAAUUUUUUUAAAAAAAUUGACUAACAGUGAUCAAGAUUGACUAAUAGAUAUUACUCGACAACAAAUAAAGAAACUACUGCUCAAGAGACACUUUCAACAACGCAUUGAUGUGAGGUAAAUAACAAGAGUGAAGAGACACUUAAUUGAUUGAUAAUCAAAGUUCGAAGCCUCAGUGUGCUAACAACCAGUUAAGUCAACAACAGGAAGCUAUAAAUGGCAAACAUUAAUGCUCAUGAUGACAUCCAAAUCAAGUUCAGAAUCGUUGAACAUUUGAAAACAAUCACAACAGGAAGCUAUAAAUGGCAAAAUUAUGGAGGUGUCACUAUUGCCUUAGAGGGAAGAAGAGAGGAAAUGGGUGGUGUUGGUGCUACCAAGGCUUAGAGGUGGCAAAAAUACCCGCCCGGUCCGGACCCGGACCGUACCCGGGUGUUGCGGGCCGGGUAGGCCGUACAGCAGCUUAGAGGUGGCAAAAAUACCCGCCCGGUCCGGACCCGGACCGUACCCGGGUGUUGCGGGCCGGGUAUUACCCGGUUUGAGUAUGAAGUCGGAUCGGUCUUGGAAUUAAAACCCGACCCGGACCCGGACCCGGACCGGUUGCAUCUGGGCAGGGUCCGGUCAUGGCAAUACCCGGACCCGGCCCGGGGUUUUGCCAUCUCUACCAAGGCUAGCCUUUUUGGAAGAGCUAAAUGUUAGGAAAUUGGUGGGUGAAGCAGACACGCAGCUAAAGUAAAAUUGGAAGAAAAAUAAAGAACAAGCACAAUAGAGGACACUAGAAAUUACGUGAUUCGGCUUUUAGCCUAUAUCCACGGGCGAAGACAAAAGGAAAUAUUUUACUAGUGAAAAGGAGUUACAAGUAUUGUAGUAUUUUAGCUCACUUCCCAAAACCCCAAUACACCCAAACUCUCUAACUCACUAGACACUCAAGAGUUUAUUAAACUCUUAAAACUCUCAACACUCAAGAAAGCAAUACUUCUCUCUCGAUGGAAUUGAAUGCAAAUGAAUUAGGGAGCUCUUCCUUUUAUAGCUAAAAAAUGUCUAUUAAAUUAAUAUAUAUAUGUAUAUAUUUCAAAUGUAGUUACCAACUUCUUCUUUUUCUCCAUUUAGAUGGCACCAUUUUCUUUGGCCGGCUGCACCAUUUUCUUCUUUCAAAUGUCAAACCCUUCUAGAUGCAACCAUGCCGAACACUUCUAGAUGCAGUCAUGCCAAACACUUCUAGAUGCAGCCAACUUUGACACUAAAGACGUUAGGCUUCUUAUCAGCGCCGCCAGCAGGGGUGGCAUGUUUUCCGUUCUUUUUGCUGGCUAUAGCAACGAUGAUGGUGGGACACCUCGGAAAACUUUCACUUGCGAGUAUUGACAUUGCUAACUCCUUAAGGGUGCGUUUGGGACAGUUAUAUAUUAAAAGUUACAGAAUUAAAGUGUUUGGUAAAUACUCAUCAUUGUAACUUAUAAAUUAUAUUGAUAUGAUUUGUUACUUGUAUAAUAAAAAAUAUAUUAUAUUAAAAAAAUUAUUAUUCUGCUUCUGUUGUAGAUAAAGCCACAACGGUCUGCAGUUUCGAAACCCAGCUUACAGCUGCUCCCGCAAGUGUAAACACAUAACUAGUAGUGGAUUUCCUUUUAUCAAAGUCUCCUGCAAAAUCUGAAUCCACAUAGCCCCUGACAGUAAACUCUGAUCCUCCAUAACAUAAUGCAACAUCUGAGGUUCCUCUGAUGUAUCUCAGAAUCCUCUUCACAGCUAUCCAAUGCUCUCCACCAGGAUUCGCCAUGUAUCGACUGACUGCUCCCACUGCUUGUGCAAUGUCCGGUCUAGUACAUAUCAUAGCGAACAUCAAACUUCCCACUGCUGAUGCAUACGGUACUCGAGACAUCUCCUUCCUCUCUGCUUCAUUGCUAGGACACAUACUUGAGGAUAAUUUAAAAUUAACAGGAAGUGGGAUAGAAAUUGACUUACAAUCUUGCAUGUUGAAGCGCCGCAAGAUUUUCUUCAAGUAAUUCUUCUGUGAAAGCCAAAUCUUCCUGUUAUUUCUGUCUCGGUGAAUUUGCAUCCCUAGAAUCUUGUUUGCUGGUCCCAAGUCCUUCAUUUCAAACUCCCUAGCCAACUAUGCUUUCAAUUCUUGGAUUCGAUCUUUGUUGGGACCUGCUACCAACAUGUCAUCCACAUACAACAGCAAAAUGAUGAAAUCAUUAUCUUCAAACCUCUUGUAAUAUGCACAAUGGUCUGAACUGAGUCUGUUGUAUCCAAGGCUCAUAAUGAAUGAAUCAAAUCUCUUAUACCAACACCUCGGCGCCUGUUUGAGACCGUAUAGAGAUUUGUUCAACCUGCAAACCAAGUUCUCCUUUCCUGUUUCUGCAAAACCUUCUGGUUGGAGCAUAUAUAUUUCUUCUUCAAGUUCUCUAUGAAGAAAUGCAGUUUUCACAUCCAACUACUCAAGAUGUAAGUCAAAUGUAGCACACAUCGCCAAGACUACUCUGACUCUUGUGAGUCGAACCACCGGAGAAAAUAUCUCGUUGAAGUCAAUACAUUUUUUCUGAGCAUAUCCUUUCACCACCAAUCUUGCACGAUACCGCUCCACUUGGUAAUUGCCAUCACGCUUGAUCUUAUAGACCCAUUUGUUUCCAAUGGCUUUUCUUCCACGUGGUAGUGGUACAAGUUCUCAUGUCUUGUUCUUGUGUAGAGCUUCAAUUUCUUCAUGCAUUGCUGUCAUCCACAAAACAACAUCUGAGCUGUUUAAAGCUUCAUGGAAAAUUGAAGGCUCUUCAUCCUCUGUUAGAAGACAGUAUGCAACAUUGAUCUCUGUGACAUACUCCAAGUGCCACGCCGGCGGUCGUCUCUCACGAGUUGACCGACGAACUUCUGGAGCUUCAGACUCGACUGGUUCUUGUUCCUCGUGCUUUGGUGCUGCUUCAUAAGAAUCUGAAUCUUCUAGAUUAUUUUCCACAUAUACUGGCACAGUCUCUGACUUUUCUUUUGCAGUGCCAUCAUUCUCAUCUCUCCUUUGCAGUUGAUCUUCUAUAAAAAUAACAUCUCUGCUGAUGACGAUUUUGUGGGCAAUGGGGUCCCACAGACGAUACCCCUUUACUCCAUCAGCAUACCCCAAGAAGAUACAUCUUCUAGAUUUUGGAUCCAGCUUUAUUCUUUCUUGGACAUUGUACAUCACAUACACAGGACAUCCAAAUGCAUGUAGGUAAGAAUAAUCAGCUGGCUUUCCAGUCCACAUCUCCAUCGCUGUCUUCAACCCAAUAGCUGUAGAUGGCGACCGAUUUACUAUAUAAUAGGCAGUUUUGGCUGCUUCUGUCCAGAAUGAAUUGGGUAGACCAGCAGUCCUCAACAUAGCUCUUAUUCUUUCUGUAAGAGUUCUGUUCAUCCGCUCCGCCACUCCGUUUUGUUGAGGAGUGUAUGCCACUGUGAACUGCCUCUGAAUACCUUCGUGCUUACAGAAAGCAAGAAACUCGCCGUCUGUAUACUCUCCACCAUUAUAUGUCCUCAAGUACUUGAUCUUUUUACCAGAUUCAAGUUCCACCCGUGCUCUGUAUUCUUUAAACACAGAAAAUACAUCUGACUUUUUCUUAAUUGGAUACACCCAACAUCUUCUGGAAUAAUCAUCAAUGAAAGUCACCAUGUACUUUGCACCUCCCAUGGAUAUAUCUGGUGAUUCCCAAACAUCAGAAUGAAUCAAGUCUAGAAUGCAUUUACUUCUAGCAAUAGAUCUACUGAAUUUUAAUCUAUGCUGCUUACUUGUAACACAAUGCUCGCAAAAUGGUAAACUUACCGAUUUGAGCCCCGGAAGCAAUUUUCGCUCAGAGAGAAUCUUCAAACCUUGUUCCGACAUGUGGCCAAGUUUGAGAUGCCACAUCAUCGUUGACUCUUCUCCAUUUGAUGCGACACACACAUCAGCCUGCUACCAACAUGUCAUCCACAUACAACAGCAAAAUAAUGAAAUCAUUAUUUUCAAACCUCUUGUAAUAUGCACAAUGGUCUGAACUGAGUCUGUUGUAUCCAAGGCUCAUAAUGAAUGAAUCAAAUCUCUUAUACCAACACCUCGGCGCCUGUUUGAGACCGUAUAGAGAUUUGUUCAACCUGCAAACCAAGUUCUCCUUUCCUGUUUCUGCAAAACCUUCUGGUUGGAGCAUAUAUAUUUCUUCUUCAAGUUCUCUAUGAAGAAAUGCAGUUUUCACAUCCAACUACUCAAGAUGUAAGUCAAAUGUAGCACACAUCGCCAAGACUACUCUGACUCUUGUGAGUCGAACCACCGGAGAAAAUAUCUCGUUGAAGUCAAUACAUUUUUUCUGAGCAUAUCCUUUCACCACCAAUCUUGCACGAUACCGCUCCACUUGGUAAUUGCCAUCACGCUUGAUCUUAUAGACCCAUUUGUUUCCAAUGGCUUUUCUUCCACGUGGUAGUGGUACAAGUUCUCAUGUCUUGUUCUUGUGUAGAGCUUCAAUUUCUUCAUGCAUUGCUGUCAUCCACAAAACAACAUCUGAGCUGUUUAAAGCUUCAUGGAAAAUUGAAGGCUCUUCAUCCUCUGUUAGAAGACAGUAUGCAACAUUGAUCUCUGUGACAUACUCCAAGUGCCACGCCGGCGGUCGUCUCUCACGAGUUGACCGACGAACUUCUGGAGCUUCAGACUCGACUGGUUCUUGUUCCUCGUGCUUUGGUGCUGCUUCAUAAGAAUCUGAAUCUUCUAGAUUAUUUUCCACAUAUACUGGCACAGUCUCUGACUUUUCUUUUGCAGUGCCAUCAUUCUCAUCUCUCCUUUGCAGUUGAUCUUCUAUAAAAAUAACAUCUCUGCUGAUGACGAUUUUGUGGGCAAUGGGGUCCCACAGACGAUACCCCUUUACUCCAUCAGCAUACCCCAAGAAGAUACAUCUUCUAGAUUUUGGAUCCAGCUUUAUUCUUUCUUGGACAUUGUACAUCACAUACACAGGACAUCCAAAUGCAUGUAGGUAAGAAUAAUCAGCUGGCUUUCCAGUCCACAUCUCCAUCGCUGUCUUCAACCCAAUAGCUGUAGAUGGCGAUUUUGUUGAGGAGUGUAUGCCACCGUGAACUGCCUCUGAAUACCUUCUUGCUUACAGAAAGCAAGAAACUCGCCGUCUGUAUACUCUCCACCAUUAUAUGUCCUCAAGUACUUGAUCUUUUUACCAGAUUCAAGUUCCACCCGUGCUCUGUAUUCUUUAAACACAGAAAAUACAUCUGACUUUUUCUUAAUUGGAUACACCCAACAUCUUCUGGAAUAAUCAUCAAUGAAAGUCACCAUGUACUUUGCACCUCCCAUGGAUAUAUCUGGUGAUUCCCAAACAUCAGAAUGAAUCAAGUCUAGAAUGCAUUUACUUCUAGCAAUAGAUCUACUGAAUUUUAAUCUAUGCUGCUUACUUGUAACACAAUGCUCGCAAAAUGGUAAACUUACCGAUUUGAGCCCCGGAAGCAAUUUUCAUUCAGAGAGAAUCUUCAAGCCUUGUUCUGACAUGUGGCCAAGUUUUAGAUGCCACAUUAUCAUAUUAAAAAAUAUAAAAUCCGGGUACCCGGAUUAAAACCCGACCCGGACCCGGACCCGGACCGGUUGCAUCUACUUCCGGGCAGGGUCCGGUCAUGGCAAUACCCGGACCCGGCCCGGGGUUUUGCCAUCUCUANNNNNNNNNNNNNNNNNNNNNNNNNNNNNNNNNNNNNNNNNNNNNNNNNNNNNNNNNNNNNNNNNNNNNNNNNNNNNNNNNNNNNNNNNNNNNNNNNNNNNNNNNNNNNNNNNNNNNNNNNNNNNNNNNNNNNNNNNNNNNNNNNNNNNNNNNNNNNNNNNNNNNNNNNNNNNNNNNNNNNNNNNNNNNNNNNNNNNNNNNNNNNNNNNNNNNNNNNNNNNNNNNNNNNNNNNNNNNNNNNNNNNNNNNNNNNNNNNNNNNNNNNNNNNNNNNNNNNNNNNNNNNNNNNNNNNNNNNNNNNNNNNNNNNNNNNNNNNNNNNNNNNNNNNNNNNNNNNNNNNNNNNNNNNNNNNNNNNNNNNNNNNNNNNNNNNNNNNNNNNNNNNNNNNNNNNNNNNNNNNNNNNNNNNNNNNNNNNNNNNNNNNNNNNNNNNNNNNNNNNNNNNNNNNNNNNNNNNNNNNNNNNNNNNNNNNNNNNNNNNNNNNNNNNNNNNNNNNNNNNNNNNNNNNNNNNNNNNNNNNNNNNNNNNNNNNNNNNNNNNNNNNNNNNNNNNNNNNNNNNNNNNNNNNNNNNNNNNNNNNNNNNNNNNNNNNNNNNNNNNNNNNNNNNNNNNNNNNNNNNNNNNNNNNNNNNNNNNNNNNNNNNNNNNNNNNNNNNNNNNNNNNNNNNNNNNNNNNNNNNNNNNNNNNNNNNNNNNNNNNNNNNNNNNNNNNNNNNNNNNNNNNNNNNNNNNNNNNNNNNNNNNNNNNNNNNNNNNNNNNNNNNNNNNNNNNNNNNNNNNNNNNNNNNNNNNNNNNNNNNNNNNNNNNNNNNNNNNNNNNNNNNNNNNNNNNNNNNNNNNNNNNNNNNNNNNNNNNNNNNNNNNNNNNNNNNNNNNNNNNNNNNNNNNNNNNNNNNNNNNNNNNNNNNNNNNNNNNNNNNNNNNNNNNNNNNNNNNNNNNNNNNNNNNNNNNNNNNNNNNNNNNNNNNNNNNNNNNNNNNNNNNNNNNNNNNNNNNNNNNNNNNNNNNNNNNNNNNNNNNNNNNNNNNNNNNNNNNNNNNNNNNNNNNNNNNNNNNNNNNNNNNNNNNNNNNNNNNNNNNNNNNNNNNNNNNNNNNNNNNNNNNNNNNNNNNNNNNNNNNNNNNNNNNNNNNNNNNNNNNNNNNNNNNNNNNNNNNNNNNNNNNNNNNNNNNNNNNNNNNNNNNNNNNNNNNNNNNNNNNNNNNNNNNNNNNNNNNNNNNNNNNNNNNNNNNNNNNNNNNNNNNNNNNNNNNNNNNNNNNNNNNNNNNNNNNNNNNNNNNNNNNNNNNNNNNNNNNNNNNNNNNNNNNNNNNNNNNNNNNNNNNNNNNNNNNNNNNNNNNNNNNNNNNNNNNNNNNNNNNNNNNNNNNNNNNNNNNNNNNNNNNNNNNNNNNNNNNNNNNNNNNNNNNNNNNNNNNNNNNNNNNNNNNNNNNNNNNNNNNNNNNNNNNNNNNNNNNNNNNNNNNNNNNNNNNNNNNNNNNNNNNNNNNNNNNNNNNNNNNNNNNNNNNNNNNNNNNNNNNNNNNNNNNNNNNNNNNNNNNNNNNNNNNNNNNNNNNNNNNNNNNNNNNNNNNNNNNNNNNNNNNNNNNNNNNNNNNNNNNNNNNNNNNNNNNNNNNNNNNNNNNNNNNNNNNNNNNNNNNNNNNNNNNNNNNNNNNNNNNNNNNNNNNNNNNNNNNNNNNNNNNNNNNNNNNNNNNNNNNNNNNNNNNNNNNNNNNNNNNNNNNNNNNNNNNNNNNNNNNNNNNNNNNNNNNNNNNNNNNNNNNNNNNNNNNNNNNNNNNNNNNNNNNNNNNNNNNNNNNNNNNNNNNNNNNNNNNNNNNNNNNNNNNNNNNNNNNNNNNNNNNNNNNNNNNNNNNNNNNNNNNNNNNNNNNNNNNNNNNNNNNNNNNNNNNNNNNNNNNNNNNNNNNNNNNNNNNNNNNNNNNNNNNNNNNNNNNNNNNNNNNNNNNNNNNNNNNNNNNNNNNNNNNNNNNNNNNNNNNNNNNNNNNNNNNNNNNNNNNNNNNNNNNNNNNNNNNNNNNNNNNNNNNNNNNNNNNNNNNNNNNNNNNNNNNNNNNNNNNNNNNNNNNNNNNNNNNNNNNNNNNNNNNNNNNNNNNNNNNNNNNNNNNNNNNNNNNNNNNNNNNNNNNNNNNNNNNNNNNNNNNNNNNNNNNNNNNNNNNNNNNNNNNNNNNNNNNNNNNNNNNNNNNNNNNNNNNNNNNNNNNNNNNNNNNNNNNNNNNNNNNNNNNNNNNNNNNNNNNNNNNNNNNNNNNNNNNNNNNNNNNNNNNNNNNNNNNNNNNNNNNNNNNNNNNNNNNNNNNNNNNNNNNNNNNNNNNNNNNNNNNNNNNNNNNNNNNNNNNNNNNNNNNNNNNNNNNNNNNNNNNNUGGAUCUAUCUUAAUAUCUAAAUCCAUAUCCAUAUCCACUCAUCUUUUUAUUCUAUUUUAUUUUAAAAGUUUCUUAAUAAUUAUGGAAUUAUAAUGAUAAUAAAUUUUAUUCAUAGCAUAUUAGUAGUAUUUACCAUGUAUUUAAACUCUUAAAACUUAAAGGUUAGUUUUGUAAAUUUAAAGGUCAGCCAGCCCCAAAGUAUGUACAUGCAAUAUUCAAAUUGCAAUCCAAGUAAUAUAACUUGGUAAUUUAUUUUAUUAUAUUGGCCAAAUAAUUUUUAAGGAAUAUAGUUAUUCAUAUAUUUAGUCAAAUAUGGUCAUAAUAAAAAUAAUAAAGGACUGAAUAUAAAUCAUAUUUAAUUUAUAUGUCAUUAUCUAAUGUUGUAGGAAUGAUGGUAGGUGUAUCGUGGAUAUUAGAAUGAUGAAGGAGACAACAGAAUAUUAUAUUGAUCUUACUCCUGCAAUUACUUCUGAAUGAUAUUUUAUUAUCUUUCUUAUUUGUUGUUUUGGUGUAAAAGUAUAAGAUACAAUAUUUAUUAUAUUUUUGAGAAAAAUUAUAUAAUUUAUUUGUUAUCAAUACAUUUUAGCCUUCAAUUUUCAAUCUAAAAAAUUAUUACUUUUUUAUUACUGAAUUUUAGAAUUCAUGACGGAUUUAGAGCAGAUUUGGAUUUUAAUUUUUUUCGGAUUUGGAGCAGAUAUAGAUAUUCAUUUCUUUUUUGGAUUUGGAUAUGGAGCGAAAAAUAUGGAUUCAUGACGGAUCUGGAGCAAAUACAUAUCUUAAUUUUUAUUAUGGAUUUGGAUCUGGAGCAGAGUAGAUCCAACCCAUAUCUGCCCCAUUGCCAUCCCUACGGUGCAGCCAUGGACGCCUUCUUUUGAUUUCAAUACAACGAAUAUGGAUCAAGUUAAAGUAUGGAUCCGUUUACCUGGACUCGCUGUUCAUCUAUAUGACUAGAAAGUUCUUCAGAAGCUUGGACAGUUGGUGGGUACAGUGAUUAAAAUUGAUUCUAACACAGCAUCCUCUGCGCGUGGAAGGUUUUCCCGAAUUACAGUUAGCCUCUCCCUGGCUAAGCCUUUAGUUUCUCAGUUUGUGUUGGAUGGGAAGGAUCAAAAGGUAGAGUAUGAGGGGUUGCUAGUGAUUUUUUUCACAUGUGGAAGAUACGGCCAUAGUAGUAACAAUUGCAAGGACUCGCGUUCAGCGAACAAUUCUGGAGAGGGUGCCCAACCUCAACCUAAUAUGCAGCGUCAGGAGAUCCCUAUCCAACUAGAUGAACACUGUAAUGAUGCUAGUAUUGCCGAGCCUUUUGGACCAUAGAUGAUAGCCACGAGAAAAGGCAGAAAAUUUAAUAGUAGCAAGGACAAUAACAAUGGCUUUAAUGGAACCGUGAGAAUAUAGGGGCUGGUUUUUCCAGAUUCCAAAUAUUAGAUCAGGUCACAGACGAUCGUGAGAACCCCAACCAUGCAGUUAUGAAAGAUAACCCCUCCACUUCUCAUCAACCAAUCAUGGCCAACAUUCACCUGAUAUUCACUGCCAACCAUGAAGCUAGAACAAAAACUCCAGCUCGACGCAAGCAACACACCACAACUGUUACUACAAAAUCCUAGAGGAAGAUGCCAGCUAAUUCUAUGAACCCAACCCGAAACCCUUUCCAGCAGAGUGCUUUCACGAUAAGAGAGGAAAACAUAAACUCUUCACCUCAUGCAAACCCUCAGCCCACAUCAUGUUUUAACCCUCAGUUCAAUCCCAGUCAUCAGUAAAUCUCCCUUCUUGCUACAACGUUGGACCCAAAAAAGCAUACGGUGGUCUUUUGUGCUACCCAAAACUUUCCUUCUGGGGAUAUAGGGGAGGCGGUCAGUGAGCAUAGCGAUCGGCUGGGGCCGGACUCUAAACACUUGUCUGACCCUCCAGACGCUCAUAAUGCUUCUCGGGUAAAUGACGGAAAUGCUGCUGUACGGCCAAGAUAUAUCCGGUGAUUCCCAAACAUCAGAAUGAAUCAAGUCUAGAAUGCAUUUACUUCUAGCAAUAGAUCUACUGAAUUUUAAUCUAUGCUGCUUACUUGUAACACAAUGCUCGCAAAAUGGUAAACUUACCGAUUUGAGCCCCGGAAGCAAUUUUCAUUCAGAGAGAAUCUUCAAGCCUUGUUCUGACAUGUGGCCAAGUUUUAGAUGCCACAUUAUCAUUGAUUCUUCUCCAUUUGACACGACACACGCAUCAGCCUCCUAUAGUGUUUCUCCUCUAAGCAUGAAUAGAUUAGUAUCGAUCUUUUCUGCCUUCAUCAAUACAAGCGCGCCUUUAACGAUCUUCAUAAUUCCAUUCUCCACAUGAGUUUUGUACCCAUGACUAUCCAUUUGUCCCAAAGACAAUAGAUUUUUCUUCAAACCGUUGACAUGUCGUACCUCCCCAAUUGUGCGAAUUGUACCAUCAAACAUUUUCAUUUUGAUAGUACCAAUACUAGCGAUCUCCAAGGCAUGAUCAUUACCCAUAUAUACAAAUCCUCCUUAGAUAGGUUCAUAUGUGUGGAACCAUUCUCUCCGAGAGGUCAUGUGCCAGGUAGCUCCUGAGUCUAUAAGCCAGACAUCAGACAGUCAUUUUCUGCCUUCUGAAACAGUUAUUGCCUCAAUGUAGAGUAUUUCGUCAUCAUCCGAGGUACUUGCUACACAACCCUGAGCAUUUGAUGACUCAGGUUCUUUGCCCUCUCUUUUCUUCUGGUUACUCCAACACUCUUUCUUGACGUGCCCUUUCUUGCCACAGUUGUAGCAUUUAAUAUUCUUCUUACUUCUGGAUUUGAUCUACCAUGAUUUUGACUCCCACUGGGGCUAUGUUCCGUUGAUCUCCCUCUCGUCACCGGUAGCGCUUCUGCUUACUGCGAACUUACUUGUCUGUUUUCCUUAUUUUUUUCGCCUGCUCUCCUCAUUUAAUACGGAGGCUGCAACAUCGUCGAAAACUAGACCCUCCACUGGAUUGUUGUUCGUCAGGUUGAUGAUGAGUUGAUCAUACGAAUCUGGUAGACUUUGAAGUAGAAGCUCUGCACGUUUAUUUUCCUCUAUAUUAUGACCCAACAUUGUGAGUUGUGAAAAUAGAGUCUUCAAUGUGUUGAUAUGGUCGGUCACCAUUGUAGAUUCCACCAUUCAAAGAGUAUAGAGUUUUCUCUUUAAGAAGAUUUUGUUGUGUAGUGAUUUGGCCUCGUACAAUUUUGUGAGAGUAUUCCAUAUUUUCUUCGCUGUAUUUUUCUCUAUAUUUCCUUCGCUGUGUUUUUCUCUGCCACACUGGAUAAUACUCCGUCUGCAAGUGCCAAGUGUAGAUCAGAAAUGGCGUUGCCAUCUAUCUCGUUCCACUUGUCAUCAGUUAUCUCCAUGGGCCUUUCUCCAAUUGCUGCCAGGCAAUUAUUUUUCCUCAAUACAGCUUAUCUUCAUUUUCCACAACGAAAAAUUAUUUCCGUUAAAUUUCUCAAUUUCAUACUUUGCCGUCAUUUUGUUGAUAAAUACUGCACACAAGCUAGUAUACCACCUUGAAUAGUUGUGAGUAUGUGUGAGAAUGCACACCAGGAAAGUUCCCAGGAAAGAUUGGAGGGGUCACAAUUGUCCUACUUAAAACCCAGACUCCUUAAGCUCUUAUCGCCUUUGUGACAUAACUUUCCUAGACAUGUACAAAACCACACAGUUGCUUUACUCACACCACUAUUCCCUGCUUUGCACCGCAAAAUUCUUGGAUUGCUUCCACCGUUUCACGUGAAUAGUACCGUAUACGUGAAUAGUACCGUAUACGUGAAUAGUAUCAUCUAUGUAAACAAAUAUACGUGAAUAGUGUCGUACGCCGUAUACGUGAAUAGUGCCGUACGCCGUAUACGUGAAUAGUGUCGUAUGCCGUAUAUGUGAAUAGUGCCGUACGCCGUAUACGUGAAUACGUGAACAAUUCCUGACUCUCCACGGGCGAAGACAGAAGGAAAUAUUUUACUAGUGAAAAAGAGUUACAAGUAUUGUAGUAUCUUAGCUCACUUCCCAAAACCCCAAUACACCCAAACUCUCUAACUCAAUAGACACUCAAGAGUUUAUUAAACUCUUAAAACUCUCAACACUCAAGAAAGCAAUACUUCUCUCUCGAUGGAAUUGAAUGCAAAUGAAUUAGGGAGCUCUUCCUUUUAUAGCUAAAAAAUGGCUAUUAAAUUAAUAUAUAUAUGUAUAUAUUUCAAAUGUAGUUACCAACUUCUUCUUUUUCUCCAUUUGGAUGGCACCAUUUUCUUUGCCCGGCUGCACCAUUUUCUUCUUUCAAAUGUCAAACCCUUCUAGAUGCAGUCAUGUCGAACACUUCUAGAUGCAGUCAUGCCAAACACUUCUAGAUGCAGCCAACUUUGACACUAAAGACGUUAGGCUUCUUAUCAGCGCCGCCAGCAGGGGUGGCAUGUUUUCCGUUCUUUUUGCUGGCUAUAGCAACGAUGAUGGUGGGACACCUCGGAAAACUUUCACUUGCGAGUAUUGACAUUGCUAACUCCUUAAGGGUGCGUUUGGGACAGUUAUAUAUUAAAAGUUACAGAAUUAAAGUGUUUGGUAAAUACUCAUCAUUGUAACUUAUAAAUUAUAUUGAUAUGAUUUGUUACUUGUAUAAUAAAAAAUAUAUUAUAUUAAAAAAAUUAUUAUUUAAAAUUUAUAUUUACUACGUAUUAUUAUUUGUAUUUAAUAGUUACAACUUUUUUAUCACAACAGGCUACAACACUUCAAUCCCAAACAGGACCUAAUUAACGUCAUCGGCUUCACUCCACUUGUAAUAUUUUCUUCAUUCCCUUUUCUUUUUACCAUUGGAGAACAGCUUUGCUUCUUCUUUGUUUCACAUCAAAGCAGGCUUCGUUUAUUUUAUCUAAUGACACUGCUUUGUAUGCCUUUUGUUUUGUAGCAAGUUAACAAUUUGCUUGUGCUCGCUAUAAAAUUGUUUAAAUGACUCAAUAUAAUCCACACAGCAAUAAUAUAACAAUAGCUAUUUUUAAAUCCAGGUCAACGACAAGCAACCACAACUGUAUGAUUAACCAAGUUAAAUCAAGCUCGUUUAGCAAUCAACUCUAGAACUUUAGCUCGACUUUCAUAGGUGAGAAUACCAGACAGGUCUAUUCUGACUAGGAUAAGAUCAACAAAUUAAUAAUAAACUUUGAUUAAUUAUUGGCGAAGAAUUAAUCAAUUGCUACUUGGAAGAUAUUAAGAAACUUUGUUCACCUUUUCUGUCGCUAGACCAAAUAAUUUAUGAAGUAUUUUUGAGCUCUUUUUUUUUUUUUUAAAUAAUCAGAAAGGUAGUGCUUUUUGAGCUUGAACAAGCAUUAUUAUAACUGAUCUUAUUUUACUCCAUAUUGUCCAUGCUACCGCUGUUUACAUAAAACGGAUUUUGGGAGAAUAGCAUAUAUUUCAUCAAUAAUCAGUCGAUACUUUAUAAGAUUAGCCGACAAAAUGAUAUCUAAUGUGGACAAUACCAUUAAAUUUUGAGCAGUUUGGUUUUGCCUCUGCAUUAGAGAUUGGAAACUAUACUUGCCCUGCUAUGUUCUUUUGCAUUGCAAUUCGUAUCCCCAUCUCUGUUCUUUGGAUAUUCAUGGACAAAGUACUAAUACUGCUAGGCCAAGACCCUGAUAUUUCUGUCGAAGCCUGCAAUUAGGCAAUUUGGCUCAUACCGGCAUUAUUUGGCUAUGCUAUUCUUCGAUCACUAUCUCACAAUCUCCAGGCUCAGAGCUUGAUUCUGGCACUGUACUUAAGCUCAUGUGCAACUCUUUGUUUGCAAAUUCUUCUUUGUUGGGGUCUAGUAUCUAAAACAGACUUUGGAAAUACAGGAGCAGAAUUAUCCAUAGGUAUUUCUUAUUGGUUCAAUGUGAUCAUCCUUUCACUUUACAUGAGAUAGAACUCACACGUUGAUCACCAAGGAAAUUUUUCCCAGAAUGAAGGAGUUUUCCUCCUUUGCACUCCCCUCAGUUGUAAUGCGUUGGUAAUUUGCCAAUCGUACUUUGCAAUGUUUUUGUUACUUUUCUGUUCUUACACAUUGACUUGCAGUGUGCCUUUUGUUUCCAAUAACUUAAGUCUCGAAUGGUGGUCAUAUGAGGUUCUGGUACUGCUGUCUGGAAUAUUACCAAAUCCAAAACUUAAAACAUCAGUUCUUACAAUAUGGUACGUUUCUACACUUAUGGUUUUCGCUUGUUGAGUAAAUGGGGGAAAUUCUCCAUAGGGUUGAAUUGAUUUCCUUUGAUCUUCAUAUGCAGCUUUACACUCCAGUGAACACACCAUUUUAUAUCAUUUGGUAUUAGUGCUGCCGCAAGGUUUGAUCUAUAUAUUGUUUCAAAAGCAUGCACUUACGAGUAAAUGAAACAAUUCAUUGCCUACUAGUUAAAACCACCCUGAAUAAUUCUGUGUACUGAGCUGUAUCGCAGUCCACCGUUUUGGCACUCGAGUGGCAAACGAAUUAGGAGCUGGAAAUUCACAACCAGCACGAUUGUCUAAAUGUGUCGUGAUAUUUCUUGGAGUUGCAGAGGCAGCCAUAGUGAGCAUAGCUCUAUUCUGCUGCCGCAAUGUUUUGGCAUAUUUGUUCAACACUGACAAGGACGUUGCGACUUAUGUGUCUGAAUUAGUUCCUCUGCUUAGCACUGCCGUUUCAUGGACAGCAUGCAAUCAGUACUUUCCGGUCAGAAUCCCAUCAUUCUGUCAGGACUUUUAUUUUCACUCUUUUCACUCAGCUAGUGCUUCAGAGCUUGAAAAAGAUUUGAUGAUUUAUUUCUCACCAAUCACUUUCAUUAUCACAAGUAGCUAGAGUAAUUGGGUGACAGCACAUAGGAGCUUAUGUAAAUCUCGGUGCAUUUUAUCUUGUUGGAAUUCCAGUAGCAUCUGUGCUAUGUUUUGUUCUUCAUCUUAGAACAAAAGGCAUUUUGCUCGGAUUAAUCAUUAAUGCCAGGCUCAACUGUCGCAAUUGCGCUCGCCAUCGUUACUUCUUUAACAAAUUGGGAAAAACAGGUUUCUAUUUCAUUUCACUCUUUUUUCAAAUUAUCUGCUUCUUCAGCAGUGAAUUAUCCUUUAAUUUUGCUGGCUGACAUUGAUCUUUCAUGUGGAUAUCUUUCCAGGCUACCUUGGCCAGAGAGAGAAUACUUAAGGGAGCAUCUUCAACUGAUAAUAGAUCGGUUCGAUGCAAAAUGUAAUUAAACAUUUUGUUUCCAUCGUAUCAAAAUUUCUUAGGAUGUGAGCUGCGAGUAUAUACUGUUACAAAACCAAGACCAAUUUUGGACAAUGCUAUUGUUGUGGCAAUUAAUUUAUCGAACACUUGGUGUGCAGAAGCAAACCCAAGAAUUUUAAGAGCAAACAAUGUCCAAAUCACCAAUACAAUCAAUUUUGUGAAAUUGAUUCACAAGGCUACGUCCUCGGAUAAUUCCUAGAUUUACCAUGAAAUUUUACAUUUAAAAGAAGCAUGAUAAACAUCAUUUAUUUUAAAAUUAUUGAUUCUCUCAUGAUUUGAAUUGUCGUAAGAGCAAUUCAUAGUGGUGAUGGUUAUUAAUAUAUAAAAAUGUAAUGAUAGUUUAGUUUAAUCCCAACCAUUAUUUGUGACAAACACUUGGCGCAAGAUCUUAGACUCUUAAAUCGAAACGAAUAAAUGUUUUAAACCUCGGUCGCAUUUAAACUUGUAUAAACUAAAAAUAGUCAAUUUCUAUUUUAAAUAAUCACAUUUAAGAUGGUUUAUGUGUUGAUCAAAUACUUGUUUAGGCUUUCAAACUAUAUAUGUUGAUCAAAUACACUGAGUAUGAGAUGUGGCUUGCAAAACAGCUAAGGCAAAAUAGUCCCCAAAUAAUUAAAACAGGUUAAUUUCCACAACUGACAAAUAGAAGUGUCGUACAUUUUUCUAAGAGCGUGUCUUAAACGUGCCGAUUAAACAUCCAAAAUGUCUUUGUUAUUAGUCGAUUACUACUAGCUAUUAUUGUUAUUAUUAUAACAGUUACCACGAAAACAUCGUCGAGAUAUUUCAUACAUCUCACCCCAUUUUCAUGCACAAAUAAAUUGAAAAAGAAAAAUCACUUAUGAAUGAUGAGAAUCGAGCCUCUUGCAACAUAUCUACAUGGUAUAUUUUAACCAGGCACUGAGUGUAGCGAGGGACUGAUGAAAAUAUUGUAGCAGAGCUACCAAACUUGAGUAAUAUGAAUUCAAAGUUGUUAGAUGACAUGGCAGCACACUUGGCAUUCAUUGGUGUUUUGGAAAGUUAAAGUGAUCAACCUUAUCUCUUAGCUUAUCAUUAAUUCAAGCUUUACUUUCGUAUUUAUCAAGAUCAAGGUAAAGAUAACAAUUGUGCUAGGCUUGAUCUUAUUCUUGGCAUGAUCGUGUUUCCUGUAGAGCACUAUAAUGUAAUGAUUAUGACUUAUGAGGUGAAUAAAAAAUAACAAAAAGGUGCUUUGUUUCUUCUUCAAGCCCAUCUUUAUAAUUUAAGUGGGACAACAUGCGAUGGCCAGCCUCUUGCAACAUACCUAAACUUCAGUAUGAUUGGUAAUCAACAAAAGUACUAGUCAAUCUUGACUUCAAACUCAAGGGAAGCAUCUUUAUCCGAAUUAAAGAGAUCCAGUCUAUCAUUUAUUGUUGUAUUAUUAGCAUACAAUUAUUACCAGAGAAUACAAGCAUAUGGAGGUUCUGCCCGAGGCUGAGAAAGAAGAAGAGAAGAAGAAAUUGGCGGUAACACGGCGAGCGUUUGUGCAAGAGCUGAAGAAGGUGAGCUUCUUGGCAGCGCCUCUUGCCGGGGUAACUGUUUUUCAGUUGCUUUUGGCGGCUGUAUCAACGAUGAUGGUGGGACACCUUGGAAAACUUUCGCUUGCUAGCAUUACCAUCGCCACCUCUCUCACCAAUGUCACUGGCUUCACUCCACUCGUAAUUUGUUUUUCUUAAUUUUUACCAUUAAAAUGCCCUUCUAUCUACGGCUUUACUUUUGAUUCUCUUUUCCUUUCUUUACUUUUGCUUGACUUUCAUGGGUGAUCAUAGCAAUCAACUUGAUAAAAUAGUAAGGGUAUAACAAAGGUUUUUCAUCAAACAAACAGUUUUAUAUACGUAUUUAGCUUAAAAGCUAUAGCUGCUAGGAAGCAAUACCAAAAGGAGUCUGAAUAAUUCGCUAUACCAUUUCACUCACCAGAGCAAAUAAUAUUUUCAUGUUCUGCUUGAGUUUGAACAAGAAUUAUAUUCUAACUAACCAUUUUGGUGUGCUACUGUACUUAACCAGAUUUGCGAGAAUUGCUUAUAUAUUUCUUCAUUAUUUCAAUCUGUUAAGAUUAGCCUGCAACAUGAUAUCUUAGUAUUUGUGUUUCUGAAGGCUUGUCAAAUACAUGUAUAAUGUUGACGUUUACUUUAAAUUUUGAGCAGUUUGGUUUUGCCUGUGCAUUAGAGACUCUAUGUGGACAAGCUUAUGGCGCAGAACAAUAUCAAAAGAUUGGGACGUAUACUUACUCUGCUAUGUUCUUUUGCAUUGCAAUAUGUCUCCCAAUCUCUGUUCUUUGGAUAUUCAUGGACAAAAUAUUAAUGCUGCUACACCAAAACCCUCAGAUUUCUGUUGAAGCCCGCAAUUAUGCAAUCUGGCUUAUACCAGCAUUAUUCGGCUAUGCGAUUCUUCGAUCACUGUGUCACAAUCUCCAGGCUCAGAGCUUGAUUCUAACAUUGUUCUUAAGCUCAUGUGCAACUCUAUGUUUGCAUAUUCUUCUUUGUUGGGUUCUAGUGUUUAAAGCCGACUUUGGAAAUACAGGAGCAGCAUUAUCCAUUAGUAUAUCUUAUUGGUUCAAUGUGAUCAUCCUUGCUCUUUACAUGAGACACUCUCCAUCGUGUACAAAAACUCGCACUUUGAUCUCCAAGGAAAUUUUGCCUUGCAUGAAGGAGUUUACCUCCUUCGCUCUCCCCUCGGUUUUCAUGUUUUGGUAUAAUUUGUCAAUCUCACUUUGCAAUGUUAUUGUUAGUUUCUGUUAUUAUUGGUUUACUUACAGUGUGCUGUUUUGUUCCCAAUAAUUAUAGUCUUGAAUGGUGGUUCUAUGAGAUUCUGAUAUUACUGUCGGGACUUUUACCGAACCCCAAACUUGAAACAUCAGUUAUAUCUAUAUGGUACACUUCUGAUAUCACUUGUGGUUUGCUUUUGGUGAAUUUAUUGGGGAAACUCUCAAUAGGGUUGAAUUGAUUUUCUUUGAUCUCCAUAUGCAGCUUUACAAUCCAGGCAACACACUAUUUUAUACCAUUUGGAAUUGGUGCUGCCGCAAGGUUUGAUCUAUAUCCUAUUUCAAAAGCGGGUUGUAACUGGCAAUUGCAUUAUUUCUGAGUACUGAGAUUUUCUGUAGCAUUCGAGUGUCAAAUGAAUUAGGAGCUGGAAAUCCACAGCCAGCUCGGUUGGCUACCCGUGUUGCGGUGGCUCUUGCUGUCGCAGAGGCAGCAAUAGUGAGCAUAGCUCUAUUCUGUAGCCGAUAUGUCCUGGCAUAUGCAUUCAACAGUGACCAGGAUGUCGUGAAAUAUGUGUCUAGAUUGGCUCCUCUGCUUAGUAUUGCCAUAUUCAUGGACAACAUGCAAUCGGUACUUUCCGGUGAGAAUCCCAACAUUCUAUCAGGAUUUAUUUGCACUCAUCUAAUGCUUAAAUAGCAGUGAACAUGCAGCUAACAAUUUGAUAUUCGCGAAUUUACCUUUCUCGUCAGGGGUAGCUAGAGGAAUUGGGUGGCAGCACAUAGGGGCUUAUAUAAAUCUUGGUGCAUUUUAUCUCGUUGGAAUCCCGGUAGCGUAUGUGCUGUGUUUUGCUGUUCAUCUCCGAACAAAAGGCCUUUUGCUUGGAUUAAUGUCAGGCUCAACCGUACAAGCAGUUGCGCUUGCCGUCGUUACUUCAUUAACCAAUUGGCAAAAACAGGUUUCUGUAAUUCAUUUUUACUUUUGUUCCAAGUGUUUGUUUCUUUGACAAUAUAUUAAUCAUCCUCUAAUCUGUUGGCUGACACUGAAUUUUUCUUAAUUUCAUGUGGAUAUUUUUCCAGGCAACCAUGGUCAGGGAAAGAACAUUGGAGGGAGCACCUUCUACUGAAAAUCCAUCGGUUUGAUCCACCUGGGCUAGUAAUUAAUUACCCUGUUUUGUUUUUCAUCGUAACAAAUUACAUUCUCGAGACGAAUAACUUAGAAAUAACUCCUAAUAAUAAUAAUAAUAAUCAGGUGGAUCAUAGUACGCCACUACGCCUUAUAAUUCGUAAUAAAAGUAUACUGCUGAAACAUAAAUUAAAAAAAAAAAAAAAAAAAAAACUUAUAAUUCGUAAUAAAAGUAUACUGCUGAAACAUAAAAAAAAAAAAAAAAAAAAAAAAACACUCGAUGAGAUAACAAUACAAAGAAACAGCUAAACCAAUUAUUUAGAAAACCAUAUUUGCAUACCACAAACUAAUUUAAAGAUAACGUACGAUAUAACAGCAGUAGCAGAAAUAAGGUUGAUACAAUAAUUAAUGAAGCUCUGCGCUACACCAAUUAGUGGUACCAUACCAUGCAUGAUCCAUCACACAGAGGAAAAAGAAAAAAAAAAGAUUUUAUUUAGCUUACUAUAUACGUAUUGCCAGCAGCGUGCAUGCUAGUACGGGGGAGGGGGAGGAUGAGGAGGGCGGUUCCAAGGCGGCGUUGGCCUGUAGGGAUCAUAGUUAUAAGGAGGUGCGGGACCGGGGGGCCCCGGAGGCGCUGCAAAAGGAGGGGGUGGAGAGUGAUGGUGAUGGUACCGAGGAGGUGGUGGAGGAGGCGGAUGGAACAAUUCGGGGCGUGGUGGCGGUGGUGGUGGAGGUGAAGGACCGUAAACGUGAGGUGGCGGCGGUGGGUGAGGAGCAUAUGGGUCUGCUGCCGCUGGUGGUGGUGGUGGUGGAGGACCUGGACCUGGACGGUGGUGUCUAUGAAAUGCCAUGUUUUUGAAAGUUAGGUGAUCAAUACAAAGUGGUGUGCUGUUGUUUUUGUUUUAAGGGAUUUGGAGUUGUUUGUAUGUACACUAGAAAAAUGUAUUUCCUUUGACGGUUC
rnacentral:lncRNA from 1 species